rnacentral:lncRNA from 1 species
UAGUUGUGAAAAGCUCCAGAAAUUGUCGUUAGGUGGGAGAUUAGAGAAACUGCCUGUGUUUCCAGAUUCCAUCACAAUGAUAGUUAUUUGGCAGUCAAGACUGACAAAAGAUCCGAUGCCUAUUUUGGGAAUGUUGCCAAACCUAAGGAAUCUCCACUUGUCCAGAGCUUAUGAAGGAGAAGAAAUAAUGUGCAGUGAUUACAGCUUCAGUCAACUAGAGCUCCUUCAUCUUUAUGGUCUUGACAACUUAGAAAGAUGGCAUUUAGGCACAAAUGCCAUGCCUCUCAUUAAAGAUCUUUCUAUCUAUAAUUGUCAAAAGCUGAAGGAGAUUCCAGAGAGAAUGAAACACGUGAAGCAUUUCAAACAUAUACGAAGUCUUAUAUGAUUAUAGGAAAGGUAAAUAUACAAACACAUUCCAAUCCUUCAUUUUUUUCUUUUUUAUAUAAAUAAUAAUAUUUUUGUUAAACAGGAGAUGAAGACAUUCAAGUUGAUGAAGAUGGGUUGUCCAUGCAUCAAUCAAGUUUCCGUCACUUUACUGAUUUUGUGAUUCUAUGCAAAAAUAAGGAUUUUUUUGGUUUUUGGCUUCUUUUUUUUUUAGUGUGUGGAAUUGGUUGGAAGAAAUUUUUUUUUUUUUUGUGUGUGUGUGCGGCGGGGGGGGGGUGGGGGGGGGGGGGGGGGGGGGAUUGUAUGCAAAAAUGAUUUUGUGAUUAUUUAAUUAAUAUACAUCUAGUACAAUAAUAUACAAAACUUUUAUAUUUCUUUUUUACAAAAAUAUUGUAAAACUUGAUAUACAAUAUUUAUACACGAUAUUAUACGAAAUCAUAAGAGGUAUUUAUACACAUUUAUACAAUCAUAUAUAUAUAUAUAAAAGAGAACUCUAUGUCCGCCUACGUAGCGUCAUCACAAACCAGGAUUUCCUUUUAAUUUAUUUAUUUACAAAACUAGCAUUCCCCUUACAUGAAAAGAUGUGACUUUUAUGAAGAGUUGCAACUUUUAUGAAGAGUUGCGACUUUUAUGAAAACCUGUGACUUUUAUGAAAGGUUGUGUUCCUUCCGAAGGGUUGUAACUUUUCCAAAGAGAUGUGACCUUUCCGAUAAGCCACAAUAAAUAUUUGUUCACACUACCCUUUGUUGUCUAUAAAUAGAGGGAUAUCCUCUCAUUUUAAAACAACGAAAAUUUUGAACUUCUUCUUCUUCUGCACAAUUAAAUAUUAUUUUUGUAUCAAUACACUGGUGAAUAGAAUCGUUCUAUCCUGAGAGGAUCUAUUCCUUUAAACCUCGGGUACUAGAGGGGAAUAAUUUUCUUAAAGGAACACUAUGCAUUUAAUGGGCUCAAUUUUUUCCAGUAUGUUUCAUUCUAUUGUUACAGAUCCUGGUAUGUUUGUUUUAAACUUUGUUGUUUAUGUUACUGCAAAGUUAUUGUUAGUACAGAUUAAAUAACACACAUUAAUUGAGUAUUACUAAUCAUGCAAGUUUUCUCUACUGAAAUUGUAAUUUCAAAUUGAACUUCAUCACUCUGGUAUGUUGAUUUUUUAAAAACAACCAAAUAAACUGAAUAGUUUUAUGUAAUAUUUUCCCUUUCAAGUAUAUAUAAUAUAAGGAAAAAUUACAGAAAUCUUACCUUUUAGUUUACUUAUUACCAUUAUCUCCUAUAAGUUUUACAAAUCUCCAAAAUCCCUUAUUUUCGCGCAUCAGAUUAGUGUAUCUCGCGCAUCAGAUUAGUAUAUCAUGUAUAAAAUAAUAAUAAGGUGGAGACAAACAACUUAUUCUUAAAAAUUAAGCAAUGCAUAUUAUUUUGAAUAUUGACAAAUCAAAGAAGCAAUAAAAAUUUAUCUGACAUAACUAAUUCCAGCAUAACUUGUUUUCGAAUCAACUGACAACGUAUUUGGUAUGAAGAAAAAUGUUUUCCAAAGCAACAUGUUUUCCUCAAAUUUAAGAAAAAUGACUUACCUCCAGAAAAUUAGGAAAACAUUUUUCAGAACUCUUUUUCUACCUCACACCUAAACUUUUCACCCUAACUCAAGUCUCGAGUUAUUCUCAAUACAAAUUCGGGAUCUGACUCCUGAUUCUUGAUUCGGGACCAGACUCUCGACCUCAAUUCGAGACCCGACUCAGGAGAUGGAUCUAAGUCAAAUUCUAAUUUCGGUGUCGAGUCCCAGGUCAGGAUUUGAGGUCGAAUCUUGGAUUGGAUGUCGGGGUUUAUUCCCAAGUCAGGUGUCGGUGUAGGGUUCCAAAUUGAGUGUCAGAGUUAGGUUUUGAGUCAAGAGUCGAGAUCUAGUCCCAGGUCAGUUGGCGGAUUUGAGUCCCGGAUCAGUUGUCGAGGUAGGGUAUCGUGGUUGAAUUCCAAUUUGAAAGUCAAGUCCUUGAUAGGGAGUUGGGAUCAAAUCUCGAUUUGGAAGUUGGGUCAAGUGUCGGGGUCAGGUUUCACAUCGAGUGUUUACGUCAAAUGUUGGUUUGGAUCUCACGUUAGGUGUCGAGAUCGAGACCCGAAACAAUCAUCGAGUUAAAGAUCAGGGUCAAGGUCAAUGUCGAGUCCUAGGUUGGGAGUUGAGGUCAGGUCCUGGAUCAGUUAUUAGAGUUGAUUUUCAGAUUAGAAAUUAUUUUCCUAAAAUUUAUUUCCUUAUCUCUAGCCAAAAUAAAAGUUUUUUUUUUUGAAAAAUGUUUUUCAUUCACCAACCAAACACUCAAAAAAAAAAUUCACUCAUCAACUUAUUUUCUAAGAAAACAAUUUCCUCCAUACCAAACACACCCUUAAGUCUCAAUCCCAAAAAAUAUUGAGGGUUGACAAUCGGUUAUAUGAAUCAUCACUAUCAAUAUUGUUCUAUUAUUAAUUAAGCAGUUGAUGGUGAAAGAUACACCUAAAGUAUCCUAAUUAUCGAGUCUCAUAUUCGAACUAUCAAUUGAGCACUCUAACUUACAAAAUGAUCAUCUAGGCACCUAAUUCAAAACUUAUGUGUCACGUCAACGUCAGGUGUUCAUUAGACACAAUGAGGACAAAUUGAAGUGUUUAAUUGUCAAUUAAGACCAAAUUGAGAUGUCUAGAUGUACACUCUCAAAGUUGAAGUGCUUAUUUGAUUAGAUUGAAUCAAAUCAAGAAAAAGAAACUCAAUCAAGAAUUUGGUUUGGUAUCGAAGAAAAAAAAUUCGAUCAUAAUUAAUUUAGUUUAGUCAGAACUUAAGAAAAAGCAUAUCAAAAUCAAACCAAAGUGAUAUUAUAUUUAUAUAAAUUUUAUAAAUAUGUUAUACUUUAAAAUAUUUAUUAUAAUUCUUAAUAAAUAAUGGUUGUCGAUGCCAAAUGGUGGUAUGUAAUUAAUGGUGGACGAUGGCAGUAGGUUGGAUGAGGGAAUUGUUGAACUACUAACAACAGAUCCAGUAAAAUCUCACUAAGUGGAAUCUGAGGAGGGUAGAGUGUAUGCACUCUACCUCCAAUUUUCAUGAAAAUAUUUAAAUAGAUAUCUUAAUAAUAUUAAUAUUUUUUUCUUAUAGAGAUUAAUCAUUUAGAUUUAUUCAAACACUACAAAAAAAAAAAAAAGGGGGCGGGCGAGGGGGGGUGGGGGUGUAUGUGUGAGAGAGAUCACUAUUCUGAUGGACUAAUGCAAAGUCAAAUAUUGACUAUAUAGAAAUUAUAAAGAUAUCAUGUGCACUACAACCAAACCAAUUUUAAAUUUUCUGGGAAUGUGUACUAAUAAUGUACUUGUUAAUAUUAUUCCACAUUUGAUAUAAUUCUUUUACUAAUUAAUCAAAGAGAAGAAAUGUAAACUAAAAUAUACUUAACUCUUGAGUCAAACUUCUUCUGGCAGCAAUUAACAGCUAACUUUGAUUUGUCUUUUGUCCUAAAGAUGGUUGAUGCCUCUGUGUCAUUCGCAGUUCAAAAACUUCUCAUACAGGAAGCUUCCCUGCGUACAAGUCUCAGACAGGAUGUGCGGUGGCUGCGAAAUGAGCUGUUCUUCAUGCAGUCUUUCCUUAAAGAUGCAGAACAAAAGCAAGUUGUAGAUCAAAGAGUUCAGCAAUGGGUGUUUGAGAUCAACUCUGUUGCUAAUGAUGCCAUUGCUAUAUUGGAGACUUAUAGCUUAGAGGCUAGUAAAGGUAACGACCCUAGAUUUGCUAGUCGUCUGAAGGCUUGCACUUGCAUCUGCAGGAAGGAGACAAAAUUCUACAACGUCAGCAUCACUAAAGCAUUGAAUCAUGGAUAUCUCUCACAAACGAGAGACUUAUGGUAUUAGAGAUAUCAAUAAUGCAGGAGAAGGGCCAAGUAAUUGCCCAAACAAUCAGUAUGACAUGGUUAGAACAUUGAGGAGAACUACCUCAUAUGUAGAUGAGGAUCACAUUUUUGUUGGCUUUCAGGAUGUUGUACAAGCAUUGCUAGCUCAACUUCUCAAAGCAGAGCUUCACAGAAGCGUCAUCUCCAUUUAUGGUAUGGGCGGAUUAGGCAAGACAACUCUUGGGAGAAACCUAUACAUCAGUCCUAAUAUAGUCUCUAGCUUCCCUACACGUGCUUGGAUAUGUGUUUCUCAAGAGUACAACACCAUGGAUCUCCUUAGGAAUAUCAUAAAAUCCAUCCAAGGUUGCACCAAGGAAACUCUAGAUUUGUUGGAAAAGAUGACAGAGAGAGAUCUAGAAAUUUACCUUCGUGAUCUUUUAAAAGAACCCAAAUACCUUGUGGUGGUCGAUGAUUUAUGGCAUAGAGAAGCAUGGGAAAGUUUGAAACGAGCAUUUCCAGAUAGCAAGAACGGCAGCAGAGUAAUUAUUACUACACUAAAAGAGGAUGUCACUGAAAGAGCAGAUAACAAAGGUUUUGUCUAUAGCUUCGCUUCCUGAGCCAAGAAGAAAGUUGGUAUCUCUUUUGUAGGAAACUACUUGAUGUUCGGGCAAUGGUCUCAGCAAUGGAAAGGCUAGCAAAGGAAAUGGUGGACAAGUGUGGAGGUUUACCUCUUGCAGUUGUUGUAUUAAGCGGACUACUUUCACAUAAAAGGGGGUUCGAAGAAUGGCAAAAGGUGAAGGACCACCUUUGGCAAAACAUUAAAGACGACUCUAUUGAAGUCUCCUGCAUACUAUCAUUGAGCUACAACGAUUUGUCAAUUGCGCUCAAGCAGUGUUUCCUGUACUUUGGUAUUAUUCCAGAAGAUCACGUGGUCCAUGUUGAUCACAUAUUAUGGUUGUGGAUGGCUGAAGGAUUUGUACCAACAGGAAAAGAAAUAAUGGAGGAUGUUGUUGAAGGCUUCUUGAAUGAGUUGAUAAGAAGAAGCUUGAUACAAGUGGUACGCACAUUUUGGGAAAAAGUUGGUAAUUGUAGGAUUCAUGAUCUGCUUCGCGAUCUUGCCGUACAAAAAGCAUUGGAGGUAAACUUUUUUGACAUUUAUGAUCCAAGAAAGCACUCCAUAUCCUCCUUGUGUCUUAGACAUGCCAUUCAUAGUCAAGGAAAAAGGUAUCUCUCACUUGAUCUUUCUAACUUGAAGGUUAGGUCACUUAUGUUCCUUGAUACGGAAUUUUUAAAGAUGGGUCUUAUAAAGUUCCAUAAUGUGUUCCAACAUCUAUAUGUGUUGUACUUGGAGAUGCGUGUUGACAAUGUCUAUAGUACCUGAUGCCAUAGGAAGUUUGUACCACCUCAAGUUCUUAAGAUUGAGAGGUAUCUAUGAUCUUCCCUCUUCCAUUGGCAACCUCAAGAAUUUACAGACACUUCUUGUCAAUGACUAUGGAUACUUUUGCCAACUACCCCGCGAGACAGCUGACUUGAUAAAUUUAAGACAUUUAGUUGCUUCGUAUUCAAUACCUCUGAAAUGUAUAAGGAAACUCACUAGUCUUCAAGUUCUUAAAGGCAUCCAUUGUGAUCAGUGGAAAGAUGUUGACCCUGUUGAUUUAGUCAAUCUUCGAGAAUUAAGCAUGCAUGAGAUUACCAAAACUUACUCACUGAACAACAUUAGCAGCUUGAAAAACCUUAGCACUCUAAAAUUGUGCUGUGUAGCUUAUGAAUCAUUCCCAAACCUUGAAUAUCUUAGUUCUUGUCAAAACCUUCAGAAAUUGUGGUUAGAGGGGCAAAUAGAAAAACUGCCUCUCUCAGAGCAGUUUCCGAAUUCCAUCGCCAUGAUGGUCCUUCGGUACUCAGAACUCAUGGAAGAUCCCAUGUCUACUCUAGGGAUGCUGCCAAAUCUAAGGAAUCUCGAUUUGUUUAGAGCUUACGGAGGAAAAGAAAUUACUGCAUUGAUAACAACUUCAGUCAACUGGAGAUCCUUCGUCUUGAUUGUCUUGAGAACUUAGAAAGGUGGCAUUUAGCCACAAGUGCCAUGCCUCUGAUUAAAGGUCUUGGUAUCCAGCGUUGUCCAAAGCUACAUGAGAUUCCCGAUAGAAUCAAAGACGUAGAGAGAACUCCUUUUCAAUGAAGCUUUUCAAGCAUAUGUGAUGUCCUAUUUCAGCUCUUUCAUAAUCGUAGAGGUAAUAAAUCCCAAUCCCCAAUGAUCAUUUCUUUAAUUCCUUUUAAUUACUCACUCUGCCACAGAUUUGUUAGUAUAAUGUUUAAUUUUUAUACUAUGACAGUACAACUUUUAAUACAUUAUCAACAUACUAAAAGAAGUCAACUAUAAAUAAUUGUCUAUAAGUAAAUCACUUAUGCAUGAGAUUUUGUCUUGUAUCCCAACAACAACAUACCCAGUACUGUAUUCCAACAGAAUGAGUUCUGGGGGGUAGAGUGUACGCGAACCUUACAUCCACCUCAAAGGUCAGGUAGAGAGACUAUUUCUGAUAAACUCUCGGCUCAAGACAAAAACAGACUAGAAAAAGACAUAAUGGAAGUAGAAGAGACAAUAGGUAGUAACAAAACAACAGAUGAAAGCAGAACAGUACUACAACCAAAUAAUAUUACAAUCAAACUAUGAUUAAUCAUCAAUUUAGGUUAUUGAUAAAUCUUUUGUUCUUUAUUGAAUACUAUUCCUCAUAUUAAAUAGUGUCUUACAAUUUUGUGAAUAGGAGAAGCAACAGCUGGCAGGUGUGGAACUUUUGCCAAGCAGUUCAAGAGAUUUACAUGCAGCAAGUCAGAUUUUAGAAAUAAUAAGCAUGUUUUAUUUUUUUUUGGCUUUAGGUCAUGUGUUUAAAUUAUAAGUGUGACGUUCAAGAUUUUUUUUAAAAAAUCUCCUUGUAUAAAUUUCUUGAAUCUUGUCAAAUUUAAUAAAUCUCCACCUUGGCAAGAUUCUCCAUUUUCAACUUUCUCUCAACAACUUUUGAUUGUGUCUUCAACCUUAAUCUUCAAUGUUCAACAAUGUUGAUCAAGUUCAAACAAUGUUGAAACUUGACCGCAGUAACCACUUUUGUCAGCAUAUCGGCAGGAUUAUCCGUAGUAUGAAUUUUCUACACUGUGACUCCACCUUCUUCUAUGAUGUCUCGUAUGAAAUGAUAUCGGACAUCAAUGUGCUUCGUCCUUGCAUGAUAAACUUGGUUCUUUGCUAAUUGAAUAGCACUUUGACUAUCACAAAAUAUUGUGAUUCCUUCUUGUCCAAUACCAAGCUCUCUAAGCAAUCCUUGAAGCCAAAUUGCCCCUUUGCAGCCUCUGUAAUUGCCAUAUACUCUGCCUCAGUGGUAGACAAAGCAACUCUUGACUGCAAAGUAGGCUUCCAACUAACUGGUGCGUUUGCAAUAGUGAAAACAUAACCAGUAGUUGAUCUUCGUUUGUCCAAAUCACCUGCAUAAUCUGAGUCACAAUAUCCAACAAGAUAUUGACUAUCUUUAUGCUCAUAAACCAAGUCAAUAUCUACAGUAUUAUGAAUAUACCGUAGAAUUCAUUUUACAGCCUGCCAAUGAUCCUUUCCAGGAUUAUGCAUAUACCUGCUUACAACUCCAACAGCGUGUGAAAUAUCUGGCCUUGUGCAAACCAUUGCAUACAUCAAGCUACCAACAACAUUCGCAUAUGGUACUUUUGACAUAUAUUCUUGUGCAACUUCACUCUUUGGCGACAUAGCAUCACUAAGCUUAAAAUGAGGAGCAAGCGGAGUGCUAACCGACUUCGUUUUCUCAUUCAUGCCAAAUCGAUUUAGUACCCUCUUCAAAUAUUCUUUCUGAGAUAAAAAAAAGCUUCUUUGAAUGACGAUCUCUUUUUAUCUCCUUGCCAAGAAUCCUCUUUGCCUCGCCCAAAUCAUUCAUCUCAAACUCCUUUUUUUGUUGAAUCUUUAGCUUCUCAAUUUCCUCUUGACUUUUAGAAGCUAUCAACAUAUCAUCAACAUAUAGGAGAAGAUAGAUAAAGGAAUCGUCUUCAAGCUUGCGCAAAUACACACAAUGAUCGUAUUUGUUUCUUAUGUACCUUUGCUGCAACAUAAACUUGUCAAAUCGUUUGUACCAUUGUCUAGAAGAUUGUUUCAAUCCAUACAACGAUUUUUCAAGUUUGCACACCAUAUUUUCUUUUCCAUCAACUUUGAAUCCUUCUGGCUGAGUCAUGUAGAUUUCCUCUUCCAAGUCUCCAUGUAAAAAUGCAGUUUUUACAUCCAACUGAACUAGUUCAAAAUUCAACUGUGCUACCAAAGCCAACAAAACUCUAAUGGAGGAGUUUUUCACAAUUGGAGAAAAUACCUCAUUAUAGUCAAUUCCCUCCUUUUGAGUGUAUCCUUUGGCCACCAAUCUUGCUUUGUAGCGAACAUCUUCUUGGUUAGGAAAUCCUUCUUUCUUUGCAAAUACCCAUUUGCACCCAAUUGCUUUCUUGCCAUCCGGGAGAUUGGCCAAUUUCCAUGCAUGAUUCUGAUGAAAGGACUGCAUUUCUUCAUCUAUGGCAAACCUCCACUUAUCUUCUUCUGAACUUUGGAUUGCAUCUUUAUAAGUGGUAGGAAUGUCAUCCGCUGCAAUUGAGUCCGCACAAGCCACCACAUCUGUGAGUCGAGCAGGUUUUCUUAUUGUCCUUUUUGGCUUGCUGGUUGCUAUUGAUUCAAGUUGUGGUUGAGGUUCUUGAGAUGGAACCUCCCCUUCGACUGGCUCUUCUUCCAGAGGAAACACUUCUAUUGUUUCCUCAUUUGAUCCAUGUUUUAGGAAAAUUAUAUUUCCCUCAAACUCCACCUGCUUUGAAGCACCAUCAGUUUGUUUGACUUCUUCAACUGUUACCUUAUUUGUCAAGGCAGAUUCAUCAAAGGUAACAUCCCUACUGAAAAUAAUUUUUCUUGUCUCUGGACACCAUAAACGAUAUCCUUUGACUCCAGAAGUAAUUCCCAUAAAUAAAGCUUUAUUUGCUCUUGGGUCCAAUUUUGACUCCCUUACAUGAUAAUAUGCAAUUGAGCCAAAUACAUAUAAAGAACCAUAAUCUUCAGCAGGUUUUCCAUACCAUUUUUCUAAUGGUGUCUUCCCACCAAUAGCAGCAGAUGGUAGACGAUUAAUCAGGUGACAUGCAUAAUGUUAUUGUCUCAGCCCAAAAUUCUUUGCCCAAGCCAGCAUUGGACAACAUACACCGAACCUUCUCCAGCAAAGUUCGGUCCAUGCAUUCUUCCACUCCAUUCUGUUGUGGUGUAUUUCUAACGAUGAAAUGUCUGACGAUGCCAUUUUCCUCACAAAUUUUCUGAAAAAGAUCAUUUUUGUAUUCUCCACCAUUGUCUGUGCGAAGACACUUGAUCUUUUUUCCACUUUGAGUUUCUAUCAUCACUUUCCAUUUGAGAAAAAUUCCCAAUACUUCAUCUUUUGUUUUCAUCGUAUACACCCACAAUCUUAGGGAAAAGUCAUCAACAAAGGUUUCAAAAUAGUGUUUCCUACCUAAUAAAUGUGUUUUGGAAGCACCCCAAACAUUUGAAUGAACAUAAUCCAAAAUACCUUUAGUAUUAUGGAUAGUUGUUCCAAAUCAUGGAAAUCUCUCGCAAACGAGACACUUAUGGUAUUACAAAUAUCAAUAGUAAUGCUGGAGAAGGGCCAAGUAAUUAGUCUGCCAUGGUUAGAACAUUGAGGAGAACUACCUCCUAUGUGGAUGACCAGGAUUACAUUUUUGUUGGACUUCAAGAUGUUGUACAAACAUUGUUAGAUGAACUUCUCAAACCAGAGACUCGUUGAAGUGUUGUCUCCAUUUAUUGGCAUGGGCGGAUUAGGCAAGACCACUCUUGCAAGAAACCUCUACAACAAUCCUAAUAUAGUCAAUAGCUUCCCUACACGCGCAUGGAUAUGUGUUUCUCAAGAGUACAACACAAUGGAUCUCCUUAGGAAUAUCAUAAAAUCCAUCCAAGGUUGCACUAAGGAAACUCUAGAUUUGUUGGAAAGGAUAACUGAAAAAGAUCUAGAAAUUUACCUUCGUUAUCUAUUAAAAGAGCACAAAUAUAUACCUUGUGGUGGUUGAUGAUGUAUGGCAGAUAGAAGCAUGGGAGAGUUUGAAAAGAGCAUUUCCGGAUGGCAAGAAUGGCAGCAGAGUCAUUAUUACCACGCGCAAAGAGGAUGUCGCUGAAAGAGCAGACAACAGAGGUUUUGUCCAUAAACUUCGUUUCCUAAGCCAAGAAGAAAGUUGGGAUCUCUUUAGUAGGAAACUACUUGAUGUUCGAACAAUGGUUCCAGAAAUGAAAAGUCUAGCUAAGGAUAUGGUCGAAAAGUGUAGAGGCUUACCUUUUGCAAUUGUUGUAUUGAGCGGACUACUUUUGCAUAAAAAAGAGCUAAAAGAAUGGGAAAAGGUGAAAGAUCACCUUUGGAAGAACAUUAAAGAAGAUAAAUCUAUUGAAAUCUCCAACAUACUAUCCUUAAGCUACAAUGAUUUAUCAACUGCGCUCAAGCAAUAUUUUCUCUACUUUGGUAUUUUUCCACAAGAUCAAGUGCUCGGGGCUGAUAACAUAAAAUGGUUGUGGAUGGCCGAGGGUUUCAUACCCAGAGGAGAAGAAAGAAUGGAGGAUGCCGCAGAAGGCUUCUUGAAUGAACUUAUAAGACGAAGCUUGGUUCAAGUGGCUAAAACAUAUUGGGAAAGAUUUACUGAAUGUAGGGUUCAUGAUUUACUCCAUGAUCUUGCGAUACAAAAGGCAUUGGAGGUAAACUUCUUUGACAUUUAUGAUCCAAGAAGCCACUCCAUAUCCUCUUUAUGUAUCAGACAUGUGAUUCAUAGUGAAGGAGAAAGGUACCUCUCACUUGAUCUUUCUAACUUAAAGUUGAGGUCAAUUAUGUUCUUCGAUCAAAAUUUUCGUAAGAUGAGUCUUAUAAACUUCAGGAGUGUGUUCCAACAUCUAUAUGUGUGUCUAUAGUACCUGAUGCCAUAGGAAGUUUGUACCACCUCAAGUUCUUAAGAUUGAGAGGCAUCCAAGGUCUUCCCUCUUCCAUUCGCAACCUUAAGAAUUUACAGACACUGUAUGUCAAUGACGACAUACAGUAUUGUGAACUACCCCAUGAGACAACUGACCUAAUAAAUCUAAGACAUUUAGUUUCCCUGUAUUCAAAACCUCUGGAACAUAUAAGCAAACUCACUAGUCUUCAAGUUCUUCAAAACAUCUGUUGUGAUCAAUGGAAAAAUGUUGACCCUGUUGAUUUAGUCAAUCUUCGAAAAUUAAGCAUGCAUGAUAUUACCAAAUCUUACUCCCUAAACAACAUUAGCACCUUGAAAAACCUUAGCACUCUCAGAUUGUUGUGUUGUGCUGAUGAAUCAUUCCCAUCUCUUGAAUUUGUUAAUUGUAGUGAAAAGCUCCAGAAAUUGAGGUUAGAAGGGAGAAUAGAGAAACUGCCUCAUCUGUUUCCAAAUUCCAUCACAACGAUGGUUCUGAGGUUCUCAGUACUGACAGAAGAUCUGAUGCCUAUUUGGGAAUAUUGCCAAAACCUGAGGAAUCUCGAUUUGCUUAGAGCUUAUGAAGGAAAAGAAAUAAUGUGCAGUGAUAACAGCUUCAGUCAACUAGAGUUCCUUCGUCUUUAUGAUCUUGAGAAGCUAGAAAGAUGGGAUUUAGGCACAAGUGCCAUGCCUCUGAUUAAAGGUCUUGGUAUCCAUGACUGUCCAAAUUUAAAGGAGAUUCCUGAGAGAAUGAAAGACGUGGAGUUGUUGAAGAGGAAUUAUACGUGGUGAAGCUUUUGAAGCAUAUAUCAUGUCUUAUUUUGGCCUCAUAAUCGUAGAUUUUAGUGUUUCUGCCAAGCACUUGAAGACAUUGGUUAUUUCAGGGCUGUCAAUGAGAGUGGUUUUAGUGUUUGAUUUCUUAUUGUUUUAAGCUUUUUGAGUGAGUGUAAUUGGUUUGAAGAUAGUUGUUUUUGGCAAAAAUGAUUUUGUGAUGUUUUAAUUAAUUGUCUACUGUAUGUUCCCCUACUUAGCCACAUUUAAGACAAUGCUUUAUAUGUUAAAAUGUGUUGGUGUAAUAUACCCUAAAUAUAAUAAGUAAAUAAAAUGACAAAAAAUGCAUAAACAAAUCUUUAGGCUGAGGCACGGAUAUCUCGCUCUCUUUAAGGAGAUUCAAGCCCACUGCAGCAUAAUCUACACCGAUCCAGCAGUAUCACUCUUGACUUGUCCCCUCUAGGAUACAACAGCCCAACAAUGUGUACAACUCAAGCAACUCCGGAUUAGUUAAAGAGUCCAAAGCUCCACAUAAGAACACUUUCCUUCAACAUAUAAAUACUCUCUUGUCUAUAGUGAAUAUAGUUGAAGACUUAGAAUAUUUUUCUAUGUCUCAACUCUCUCUUUCACUAUUACACACUACAAUAUUACUUCACACUUCUCAUCUUUUUGAGAUACUUCACAAAGGAAGAAACACAACUAUUUAUAGGUGAAGAAGUCUCCCAUAUAAUCAAUAGGUAGAAUGAGGGGUAGUAAUGUGGCUGGAUAAAUGUGAUAGAUGUUACAUGAGUUACAAGAAACUAAUGGUCAUAUGAGUUACAAGAAACUAAUGACCAUGAUAGUUACAAGAACUAAUGGCCAUAUAGGUUACAAGAACCAAUAGUCAUCUUCUACCACAAUUUAUACCCACUAACUUAUGCACUUAAUAUUUUAUUUUAAUAAUAAAAUGUAUAUACACCAACAAAAUGAAAUUAAAAAUAGUAUAUGGUGUUAUGAAUCAACCCCAGCCCAAUAGGUGUUCUUAUUGAGGACGGGAGUAUUGUUAUGAAUCAGCCCCAGCCCAAUAGGGAUACCAACAAGGAUAUCACACAAAUAGAUAUUGGGCCGAGUAAAAGCAAUCGGGCCAGGCCUUCACAAAUUGUUUGGGAUCCAGGCCCAUUUACACUUUGUUAAAAAGGGCAAAUGAGUUGGAAAGAAGGAUUAGGAAAAUUGUUAAAGAAAGAGUGUUUCCUCUCAUCUCCCUUCUUAGUCUAAGCUUCUCAUCCCCUUCCUAUGGGUUCUUCUGAUUUCUCAUCUCCUUGCUAUUAUCUAUCCUAGUUUCUUUAUCUUCUGUAAUUUCUAUUGUACUAGUACUAUUUCUAUGUUGCUGUAGUACACCAGUUAAUACAAUCAGUGAAAAGAGUUUGGCUACUGUUCUUUUGUGAUUAGUGUUUGUUACAUAGGUGCUUUCAUCCAGAGAACUCCAUCAUCAGCUAUGUUUCUACCUAGAUUCAAUGGCAAUGACAACGGCAACCCGAAGAACUGGAUUUUUCGGGCAGAAUUGUACUUCACAUACCUUGGUUUCGACGAGAAGGACUGGCUACCUCUUCCUUCCUUCUACUUUGAUGGUGAAGCUCUUUCCUGGUUCGAUUGGUUGUUUCGCAACAAGCUACUCGUCGAUUGGAACCAUUUCAAGGAUGCAUUUACUCAGCGAUUUCAACAACAAACCAACAUAAAUGUGUUGGGGCGUCUAGCUAAUUCCUCACAGGUUCAUUAUGACUACAUUAGUUCUGUCCCUAUAGUUUCACAAUCAGUUGUGGUGUCUCCUUUUUCUGCUUCCAGUCAUUUUUCAAGGUCCUCUGCCAUUGCAUCUGCCUGCAACGCUGAAAGCUCACAGGCAGACCAGGUGCUCGAUGAAAGUUCUCACGGCAUUAAAUUAAAUGAGGUAAGGUCAAUUGCACCCCGAGUAUCACUCCUAGUUCCUUUUGAUGGUCCAGAAGUUGUUAGGCCAAAUGAACAUCUCGAACGAGAUAUGUCAAUGAGGUAUGUAGAUGUUAACUCUCUUGCUAGUGGCUCUCCUAAAUUGAAAACUGAUUCGGAGACCUUCGUAGACUGGUAUCUUUCUGAUUUGUUCAUGGAACCUGUGGGUAAUGAAAAUCUGUAUCUCAAUAUCUCGACAAGUUCAAUACAUUCUGUUAAAAUACUUCCUGACAUUGAAAAUGGAAAAUCCACCGGGGCGUUCAAUGAUCAAAAUAUUUCAAGUCAAUUUCCAUUGGUUCCUGCUGCUAAUUUAUUUAUUAUAAUCAUGCCUGUGAUUGCAAUGGACCUUUGUGUAUGGGAUCCAGGAAUAUGUUUCGAGUUCAUGGCUCUAACAGAUUUUAUAGAGAACGCAGAGGAAUUAUUUUUGUUGGGCUGUCCUUGCAAGUUUUUCUUAAAUGUAGAUUCAAACUCUAUGAGUAGAGUGUGGGAUCCGGGACAAACAUGGUGUGUAUAUUGCUACUUCUCUAAUGGGUCAUGCGUUAUGUAUAACUACAUUGCAUUCACAUGUCCUUCAAUCGCAUAUGAACUAGUCGUUGAGGAAUAUUUUUAUGUAAACUAUGACGUUUUGGUGGACAACUUCAAGCAAACAUCAGUUUUGCGUCCCGAUGUCAGCACUAGUUUUGACAGGAAAAUUGAGAAUUGCUACCUAGUGCUUGAUAGAAAGAAUCAUAUUGCAUUACUUAGUUCUACUAUAGGGCUUCAGAACUUUGAUGCUCAUUUUAAUGUGCUCCCAAUUGGCAUCACUGGCCCCAUGAAAGUUUUUGGAAGACAUAGUGUUGCGCACGAAGUACUAUCUAAUUCUGCCCAUCACUGGUCCUUGAAGAUUUGUUUACAUGGACUUUUCCAUAAUUGGUUUGCUGGAAGAACUCAUUGGUUUGUUUUUGUUGUUAUUAAUGGUGAUGUUGUGGGAAGUUCAACUAGAAUUGUCCAUUUAAACAAAUGGGUUUCUGGGCAGCGGCUGAAGGAUAAUGUACAAAUGCCUAGGCAUAACAAUGUGUCAUGGAGGGGAAAUUCUGGGCUGCAAGAUGGAAAGUAUAUUGAUUUUAUUAAAUAUAAAUAUUUGGUGGUGGUCUACAAUGAUGCCAGAGAUGGACUACAACUUAGUUUGCCUUUAUUUCAUGUUCUUACUAUGCUAAGCUGGAGUGUGAGUGUGCAUCUUGCAAAUUAUAAAGUUGUUGAACUAAAUCAUGUCAGGGAUGUUUUCAAAGCAGCCUUCACUAUGAUGUCCAUUCUAAGGAUAUUGUGGCCUAGGAGACAUGUAAUUGGAGAAAAUGAUGAGUUUAUCGGCAAGAAGGCUGCUUAUGCAUUGAGCCAAGGCGUUGGCGUUAUAGCCUGUAUUGGAGAGCUGUUACAAGAAAGAGAAGCAGGAAAAACUUUUGAUCUCUGUUUCCAGCAAUUGAAGGCUUUUGCAGAUGCUAUACCAAGUUGGGAUAAUGUUGUCAUUGCGUAUGAGCCUGUCUGGGCUAUUGGAACUGUUGCCUCGCCUGAUUUUUCUUGUCACAACCAUGUCCAACAGGCAGUAAACUGUUUUGACACAAUAUACAAAGCUUGGUAUGAAGCUCUUGAUUUUUCUCACAAGGGACUUGCAGGUGUUUGCCAUCAAAUGCACUUCGUCCAUCUUAAAGUCAAUGUAACUGCACCUAGAUUACCAAUGCUUUCGUUGGCGAGAUCUCUUGACUUGAACCUUGAGGACAAGGUUCUUAUUGAGGACGGGAGUAUUGUUAUGAAUCAGCCCCAGCCCAAUAGGGAUACCAACAAGGAUAUCACACAAAUAGAUAUUGGGCCGAGUAAAAGCAAUCGGGCCAGGCCUUCACAAAUUGUUUGGGAUCCAGGCCCAUUUACACUUUGUUAAAAAGGGCAAAUGAGUUGGAAAGAAGGAUUAUGAAAAUUGUUAAAGAAAGAGUGUUUCCUCUCAUCUCCCUUCUUAGUCUAAGCUUCUCAUCCCCUUCCUAUGGGUUCUUCUGAUUUCUCAUCUCCUUGCUAUUAUCUAUCCUAGUUUCUUUAUCUUCUGUAAUUUCUAUUGUACUAGUACUAUUUCUAUGUUGCUGUAGUACACCAGUUAAUACAAUCAGUGAAAAGAGUUUGGCUACUGUUCUUUUGUGAUUAGUGUUUGUUACAUAUGGUACUCUCACUUGUCCACAAUUUAGUAUUUUCUGUUCCUCCUUCAAUAGCAAAGGAGUUCAUUUAUCUAACUAGUUUUGGUAUCUUAAGUUUUUGGUUUCUGGUUUCAGACAGAUUCGAAAACUACUUAUACUGCAAAAUUAGAGAUGCAACGCAUACCAAAAUAAUCCAAUCACUAGAAGUCUAAUUUACUGACUCAAAUUUAAUUACAUGCCUUCUUCACCUAACUGACUCUAGAUUUAUUGGAAAGGAUGACAGAAGGAAAUCUAGAAAUUUAUCUUCGUGAUCUAUUAAAAGAAUGCAAAUGUGAUGUAUAGCAGAGAGAAGCAUGGGAGAAUUUGAAAAGAGCAUUCCCGGAUAGCAAGAAUGGAAGCAGAGUUAUUAUUACCACGCCCAAAGAGGAUGUCGUUGAAAGAGCAGACGACAGAGGUUUUGUCCAUAAACUUUGUUUCUAAGCCAUGAAGAAAGUUGGGAUCUCUUUUGUAGGAAACUACUUGAUGUUCGAGCAAUGACCUCAGCAAUGGAGAGGCUAGCAAGCUAUGGAUAUGGUGGACAAGUGUAGAGGUUUACCUCUUGCAAUUGUUGUAUUAAGGAGGCUAGAAGAAUGGCAAAAGGUGCAGGACCGCCUUUGGCAGAACAUUAAAGACGACUCUAUUGAAUUCUCCUACAUACUAUCAUUGAGCUACAACCAUUUGUCAACCUUAGAUGGAAUAAGCACACCAUCACUAUCACAAUAAGAAAUAUCAAUCUUCUCAUACCUAUCAUGAAAAAAGGAUCACUGGAGGAGCUUAGAGCGAAAAAUCAUGAAAACCAUUCAUUCGAGAAAUCAUAUCAUCAUCAUCAUAUGUUAUUAAAAGUAGGAAGAAUCUAAGUCAAAAGUUGAAUUAUGAAAAAACCCCUUACCUAUUAAUUUUUUUUUUUAAAAUCAUUUUAAAAAAUUAUUUUUCCAUUUAAAAUCAACUUCAUAACUACACCUCUGCAUUUUCCUAACUUAUCAUCAUAUUAUCAUAAAUAAAUAAUAAAUAAUAAUAAUUAUUAAAAGUGGAAAGCUCCAAAAUUUGAAGUUGGGUCGUCAUUUUACCCCUAUAUUAAAUAAAAAAGUUAUAAAAUAUUUUAUUAAUUAAAUAUUAAAUAGUAAUAAUUUGUCAUUUUUUCUUCACAUAUAAAAAAAGAGAAAUAAAACUUCUAUGAAAUUAGUAAAUAGUAAGUAUAUAUAUAAGUGGAACCAAAAUAUUUUUAAAAUUGAAUUAUCAAAAUGUCCAUAAAAUAUUGAAUGACAUUAAUAUCCUUCAAUCAAAUAUUAUUCCUACAAUAAUAUUGUACAAGAAUAUAAAUAUACACUUAGUUCAAUGCAUUAGGCUAUUUAAUAUAUAUAUAUAUACACGAAAAUACCCAUUAAUAUUUUGCUACAAGUGAAUUUGGCCGCGCUACGCGCAGUGGAAUUACUCAUUUAACAAAUUCAUUAUUAAUUUGAAAAUUGAUUUACUACUAUAUAGUUUAUGAACUAUAAUGCUAAUUGUUUUGAAAAUUCUUUAAAUGUUAUAAACCAUAAAGAAUUGUUUAUAUAUACUUUAUAAAUUUUAAACAUGUUAGCUUUCAUAUAAAAGUGUUGCUUGUUACAACAAAAAUUAACAUUCUAUUUGGUAGAAGAAAGAAAGAAAACUAUAGGUAAAUAGAUGAGUCAAAGAUAUCAAAAUACUUGUGAAUGAUCGUGAUUUAUCGAGCAAGAACUCAUAUGUUAAACUAUUUUAAAUUUUUUAUUAUGCACUUUUCAAGUUCAUUAGUACUAUUCUCUUUCAGAUAGUAUAGUUACAGUAUAAUUUUAAAAAAAGGACCGACAUGCUCGUGUUUUCUUCACCUUUGGUUGUUUCUUUGUUCUUCACAGUUGUUUUAUAUUUCCCUUUUGUUUCAAUACACUCUAAAGAUAGAAAUGUUCUUCAAACUCCACAAAUAGAACAAACAUGUAAAAGAAUAACUUAUGAAACUUAUAGAAACAUUUGAGAAGAUGAUAUACUUGUAGUGCUCUCCACUUAAACGAAUAUCUGAGAUCCUAAUAAUUUUACGGAGAUCCUAAUAAUUUUACCUGAAAUCUUUCUGUUGCCUGCACAAAAAUGACAUAUCCGAUGAUGAUAUUUGGUUGCCGAUAAUGAUAUGUAACUGCAAAACAAUUAUGAUAAAACAUAAAAUAAAAAAAGAUAGUACACAUACUACAGAAGGAAAGCAAACAUGAUCGGUUAGGUAACGAUUGCUUCUAAUUUUGCUUCAAAUUCUGAGUUUUAAGUGCAUGUUAAAUCUGUUACAAUAGUCAUUUAAGGUGGAAUUAAUGAUGGUAUCUAAUUGCUACGUUUAUUUAUAUUUUAUUUAUGAGUCUUUUAAAUUCAUUUGUUAGUAGCAGAAAUGAAACAAAAACAAUACAGGAAAAGGUGAAAAAUGGUCGUUUCAUCUUUUAUUAAUAAAUGAGAUGACAUUUGUUUUUUCAAACAUAUUACACAAAUUAAAACUUAAUAAAAAGCUCAAAAAAAAAAAAAGCAUAUUACACAAAUUAAAACUUAAUAAAAAGCUCAAAAUAAAAUAAAAUAGAGAAAUAUUAUAUAUAUAUAUAUAUAUAUAUGAUAUGAUUUAUUUAACUCCUAUUUAUGUUAUAUAUAUAUAUUUCUAGAAAGUUAAGUCUAUCUUCUAAUAAAUAUAAAUAAUAAUAUAGCAAAUGAAUGAACUAGAUAAAUCAAAAGACAUGGAGUUGUGUGUAUUCAAUUUUUGUAAAUGUUUUAUCUCCCGAUUCCUAAUGCAAAAAAUAAAACAUUUCUUCGUAGUAAUAAACAUAUGGAGAUUUUGAAAAGUUGUUUGGUAUAUUCAAUGUGGAAUAAAUUAUUUUGAUCAAUUCAAUACAAUAUAUUCAUUUACUAAAUGUUAUAUAUUGUGUAUAUAUAGUGAAAAAUAACAAGACAAUUAUAUCAUCAAAUAUAUAUUAUGAUAAAUUAUGUAAAAGAUAAAAAUGAAUCAUUCAUUAUAUAUUUACAACUAGGUAAUUUACCCGUGCGAAAUAAUUUUUCUAAGCUUUUGAACAACCUUUCCAAUAAUGAUUGUUAUAAGAAAAAAAAUUAGUAGAUUUUAAAAAUAUUUCAAUAGAAAUUAAAUGAUUUAACAUUAUCACAUAUCUCAAGAAUUGUAAAUAUAUAAUGAAUGAUUAAAAAUAUCUUCAUAUCUAAUCAUUUUUAUUUUUUACAUAAUUUAUCUUAAUAUAUGUUUGAUAAUAUAAUUGUCUUGUUAAAACUGAGUGAUGUUUUUAUGUAGCGAUUAAACAUCAUUUUUUCUAUUUUUUGUACAUGAAAAAUAUAGAAUCUGAUAAUUUUAUUGUUAGAAUAUAACUUCUAGUGAAAAAAAUUAUGUGAAAGUUUUCGAUAAUCAAUAUUAGUUAUAAAUAAGUUAAGACCGUUGAAAUUGUACACCACAACAACAUAAAUAAUUUUUUUUUAGAGACAAUCUACUUGUCUGAGGUCAAACGUUCACCACUUUUCGUUAUUGUUACUUUGUUACUCUAAAAAAAUUAUAGAAGGAGAAAAAUAAAAUUGAAACAACAGCAAAAUAAUAUUGUUGACCCUUUUAAAAAUUCAUUCUUCAUUAAUUGCUUCUCUGAAGACCCUUCUAGAUGCUUAAUCAAUGCAACUUUACGAUUUUUUCAGAAAUAUGUAUGUAUAAUUGUUGCAUUAUGAAAGUACAAGUAGAUCAAAAUGUUGGAUUCUACUCAUGUUAAAGAAAUAUUCUCGAACAUUAAAAAACUAAAAAUGAAUCUAACCUAGAUAACUCAAACACUCAACAAUGACUUGGGACAUGAAGGACAACAAAUCUAUGUUAAUAGACAUAUCUUUUGUAGUUUAAGACAUUACUUUUAUUUAGAGCAGGUUUUGUUUCAUAUCCUUCAAAUUAAGCUUGCCGAAAAUAGUCAUAACUCACACCAAAAAUAUUUAGAAGAGCCGAAUGAGAAAGAAAAAAAGAAAGACAUUAAAAGGGCGAAAGCUUUUUCCAAGUGAUCAGAUCAUAUACAUACCAAACGAAAAACAAUCAAUACAAUUUUAAGGAGACAACAAAACAGCGAGAAAAAACUUACAUUAAAAGGAGUAAACUAUGAGAUACCCAAUGAUGAUAACAAAUCAUUCUAACCAAAAAAGUUCUCAUGUUUUGAAAUAACAUACCUCAAAAAAUUGACUAACACUUCAAUCAACUUUCAAUCCUUAAAGUACUCAUAAUAUCCACAUAUAAAAUUUAGUAAAAAUAGAUAACAACAACAUAAAAACCAAAAAAUAUGGGCAUGCAAAGUUAUUAACUCUCAAAGGAUUUUCUAAAGAACACAAAAUCUCAUCCUUGUAUGUGAAGGAAUGUCGUUAUUGAUGAAGAAAUUAGAGAUUUGUAAGAGCUUUUUUAUUGUACCUUCAACAAUUCCAAUAGAGAAACCUUGCUUGAAUACUCAAUUAACGUUUGUUAUUUACCUCAAAAAAUUGACUAACACUUCAAUCAACUUUCAAUCCUUAGAAUACUCAUAAUAUCCACAUAUAAAAUUUAGUAAAAAUAGAUUACAACAACAUAAAAACCAAAAAAUAUGGGUAUGCAAAGUUAUUAACUCUCAAAGGAUUUUCUAAAGAACACAAAAUCUCAUCCUUGUAUGUGAAGGAAUGGCGUUAUUGAUGAAGAAAUUAGAGAUUUGUAAGGGCAUUUUUUAUUGUACCUUCAACAAUUUCAGUAGAGAAAACUUGCUUGAAUACUCAAUUAACGUUUGUUAUUUAAUUUGUACUAACAAAUACUUAUAACAAUAAUUUUGCAGAAACAUAAACAACAAAGUUUAAAGCAUGUACUCAAAAAUAACAAUUAAUAAUAUAAACAUAAAUUAAUGACCGUAAAAAACAUAUCAGGAUAUGUAACAAUAGAAUGAAACAGAAUGGAAAAAAUUGAGUCCACUGAAUGCACAGUCCCCCUUAAGGAAAUUAUUCCCCUCUAGUACCCGAGGUUUAAAGGAAUAGAUCCUCUCAGGAUAGAAUAAUUCUAUUCACCAUUGUAUUGAUACAAAAACAAUGGUGUCAGUGAGUCAUUCAACAGGAGCAAAAUACACAAAUAUUUAAUUGUUUAGAAGAAGAAGAAAUUCAAAAUUUUUGUUGUUUAAAAUGAGAGGAAAUUCCUCUAUUUAUAGACAACGAAGGGUAGUGUGAACAAAUGUAUAUUGUGUCUUAUCGAAAUUGUCACAACUCUUUGGAAAAGUUACAAAAGGUCACAACCUUUAUAAAAGUCAUAAUUUUUCAUAAAAGUUGCAAAAUGACUAAAAUAUCCAUAGAAAGAUAUUAGAUAUUUUUAUCGUUUUAAAAAUUAAUUAACUACAUAUUUUUUUAUAUUUUCCUUUUUUUUUUGUAUUUAUUUUCAUUGCACUUAAUAUCAUACGAACUAAAUUUUUUUCUCUUCUUUAUUUAUUAUUUUUCUCCUUUAUUUAUUUUAAAUUCAUUUUCAUGACUCAUGUUUAAUUAUCUAUUAGAUUGUUACUCUUAAUAUUUAUAACUCUUAUUCUUUUCAUAUUCAUAACUUCCAAUUAUUAAGAGAUGCUACCUAUAAAAGUUCCUAAAUACAUUAUUUGUGUUAUAGUCUUUUCUUCAUUCAACCUCAUUUGUUUUAUCCUUUGAGCUUCCAAUUGUAAUUAGUAUUAAUAAGUAUCUAUUACUCAUCUUUCUUAUCUUGCUUGCACUAUAUAAAGGUGUACAAAUGAAUAGUAAAUUAUGAUUCUCUUCUUUCUAUAAUUUUUUUUAUUGUUUUGCAUUUUCCUCAAUACUAUGUGGACAAGUAAAUUUAUUUUCUUUUGUGUUUAAGAGCUUAUAUUUACAAGGUAACAUGUAAUUAAUAUUAUUAUUUACUAUUUGAUUUAUGUUUUAGUUUAACUUGGUGAAGAAGAUUCUUGAAUUUUGAUUGAUUGUAGAAGAAGGUGUUGAUAAGAACUCGGAAUUUAUGUACUGAUUUUGUAUUUUCAUCCAUUUGUAUUAUUAUGAUCAAAGUCUUAAGAAGGGUGUGUAUGUUGUAUUUUUUCUUUUAUGUUUUUAUUUGUUUUUCUCAUUAUUAGACUUCUUUAAUUUGAUUUUCUAUGAAUUUUCGAAUGUCGUAAUUCUGUAAUUUUAAUCAUUUUAUCGAUCUAUAAAAAAUUACAUGGGAUAAACAUGCAAAUCACGUAUCCAGAAACUUGUUUGAUAUAAGAAUAUGUAAGACUCAGCAUACUAUGAGACAUGAGUGCUUAUAUGAAUAGAUUCAUAUUAGGAGGCUGAUAUUCAUAGCCUUAUAGAGUAAGAUAAAGAUCAAUGGGCUAAAGUUUCUGCCUCUUAUUCUGGGAAGUGAACAUAGAUAUGAAUUUAUGAUCUGAAGCGUUUGAGCAUAGGUCAUGGACAUAAUGCCAAUAUGUGAGAAAUCAACAAGGUGUUGUAACGAGUUAACUUUGAGGAAUACGCUAGACUAUGAAUGGAUUGAUAUACCACCAUAACUUUUUCUGAACACAUCAUUAUAUGAUUAUCAACGCUUGACUUGGUUCCUUACCUUAUCAUCUCCCCCUUAGGUCAGAAGCUGACACCCUAAGGCUAUGGACCUAUUACAUAUUCUCUAUACUAGUCUAUAUUCACUUUACUCUAACAUUCGAAAAAAUGCUAAUCACAUGUCUAUUAAACUCUCCAUGCGCAGGUACUAAGAUUCCUUUUAGGGCUUCUUUCUGAGCUGCUUCUCUUAACUUAUUCUUGCUUCUAUAGAAGUCUUUUGAUAAUCGUUACCCGCAUUGGAUUAUAAUUUUAUCUAACUCUUAAUUAAUAGUCUGACGUCUCCUUCUUAGCCUACUAAUACCGUCCUUCUAAGUUCAUAUCUAUCUAACUAGAGAAAACUUGAAUUGUAUUUAAUUAAGAGGCUCGUCAUUGUCUAUGUAUGAUUCUUUCGACCAAACUCUUAAGGGUAAUAAAGAAUGCUUGCAUCAGUCUACUCCACAUUGACAGCUCAAAUAUAUUAUCUAGGCACACAUAGAAAAUCAUAAACUUAAUUAAAGUCUCAUCUAACUAUAUAUGAUCUUGGGUACACAUCUUAGUGCUCUUGUUUAUCCAAUGACGUAGCCACACUUCAUUACUCUCGUCUAAGGGUCAUAAUACCACACUUGUACCACUCACAUUUAAUGCAAAUUAACACCUUAAUUCCUCACUUACUCUAUGUCAAAAGCCUACUAGAUCAAAUCUCAAAACUAACAUCAUUACCCCCCAUAUUGCCAUUCUUUUUAUCACUAUACUCAUCUCAAAUUCAAGCUUAGUGUCCAGUACUAAACAUGGAUAUCAAUGUCAUUGUUCACAUACUAUACUAACUUAUGACUACUGGAUAAAAUUAAGACACAGUCGCCGACUAAGACCUCAUGACAAGUAAUCAAUCUUUAUCCCCUAGUCUACCUAGUUACAGUUUAUCGCCACAUCCCUUUCACAACCUAAGUACUAUUUACCCCCUUCACUAUACAUUAUUGCCUAAUUAGUUCCAUAAUCCUAUUAAUAUCAUGAGGCUCUCCUUUCAAAAUCAUAAGUCUAGCUUAGAUCUAUUUCCUCAUGACUAUUUGUCCUUCAAACAUAUACUUGGUCUUCGCUAUCACAAUUACAUCAAAUUAAAAUUUAAAAUUUUGACUGCAAAAAAAGCGAAAGAAGCAAUCCAUAGAAAGAUUUGACGCUCUGAAACUUCAAGUUAACCUUCAUGGCUGAAUUCAAAUUAAUUUGUGCUAACUUAUUGAAUAUUUUUUUUCUUCUCUUCAAUGUUACAAAACACAUCUUCAAAAAAUUGAGAAGCCAUGCUCAUCAUUUUUUCCUAUAGAUUCCCCAAACGAGGAAACUUAAAAAGAACAGAAACGUAUCUAUUAUUAAAAGAUUAAAUUUGAACAUAAUUAAUUUAAAAUUUCUUAUUUUACCAUUAAUAAUAUAAUUUUAUACCACAUUGAUAUCACGAAAAUUUAAAAAUCCCAAAUCCCAAAUAUCUUUGGUUUAAAUGUGGCACCUAGCCAAACAUGUUUUUAUAAAUAAUCUUCAUUUAUUUUUGAAAGGUAUAAAAAUCGGCCAAAACUAUGUAGCCCAAGUAAAUGAACGGUAGUUAAAAAAAAAAAAAAAAGGUCAUUCGCACAAAUGCCAAUUUGAUGUGACAUUUUGAUAUUUUUUUCCUCUCAAAUGCAUUGUCUUUAAUUUUAUUCCUAUUGCUUAUUUAAUGAAAAUUUUAUUGGCUAAAAUACCCUUAAAUUUAACUAGACAGAACAUUUUACAUAAUGUUUGUAUACAUUGGAGCAUAAAUUUAUCAUGGGAAUAUUUUUUUAUUUGUUUUUUCGCUGUCAGAGAGAAUAUAUACUUUUCUUUGUUUUUUUUGCCGUCAGAGAGAAUAUAUACUUUUCUUUAUCAUUACCCUCAACUUUAUCAUCUUUCUACUUUAAGACUUUAACAAUAUUCCCAUGAUAACAAUAUUCCUUUACACUGAAUUUUUGAAGCUUUAAAUACUGAAUUCCAUGACAACAAUAUUUAUCUCUUAUCAAACUCUCAAUCUACUAAUUUCCAUACACACUUUACCUUUUACAAAAAAAAUAUUAAUUAAUUUCCAUAUUCCUAAAGAUGGCUGAUGCCGUUGUGUCAUUUGCAGUUCAAAAAUUGGGUGAUUUCCUCAUUCAGGAAGUUAACCUACGUUUAAGUCUAAGAGAGGAUAUGAAGUGGAUGAGAACUGAGCUUCUCUUCAUGCAGUCUUUCCUCAAAGAUACAGAACUAAAACAAUAUGGAGAUCAUACAAUUCAACAAUGGGUAACUGAGAUGAACUCUAUUGCUAAUGACGCUGUUGCUAUACUCGAGACUUACAGUUUAGAGGCUGGUAAAGGUGCUAGUCGUCUCAAGGCGUGCGCUUGCAUAUGUAGGAAGGAGAAGAAAUUCUACAAUGUCGCCAAGGAGAUUCAAUCACUCAAGCAACGAAUCAUGGAUAUCUCUCGUAAAAGAGAUACUUAUAGUAUUACAAAUAUCAAUAGUAAUGCUGGAGAAGGAACAAGUAAUCAGGUUACAACACUGAGGAGAACUACCUCAUAUGUGGAUGACCAGGAUUACAUUUUUGUUGGACUUCAGGAUGUUGUAGAAUCAUUGCUAGCUGAACUUCUCAAAGCAGAGCCUCGUCGAAACGUCCUCUCCAUUCAUGGGAUGGGUGGAUUGGGCAAGACCACUCUUGCCAGAAACCUCUACAACAGUCCUAAUAUAGUCUCAAGCUUCCCUACUCGCACUUGGAUAUGUGUUUCUCAAGAGUACAACACAAUGGAUCUUUUUAAGACUAUCAUAAAAUCCAUCCAAGGUUGCGCCAAGGAAACUCUAGAUUUGUUGGAAAAGAUGGCAGAAACAGAUCUAGAAAAUCACCUUCGUGAUCUAUUAGAAGGAUGCAAAUACCUUGUGGUGGUUGAUGAUGUGUGGCAGAAAGAAGCAUGGGAGAGUUUGAAAAGAGCAUUUCCGGAUAGAAAUAAUGGCAGCAGAGUUAUUAUCACCACGCGCAACCAGGAUGUCGCUGAAAGAGCAAACAACAGAGGUUUUGUCCAUAAACUUCGUUUCCUAAAACAAGAAGAAAGUUGGGAUCUCUUUUGUAGGAAACUACUUGAUGUUCGAGCAAUGGUUCCAGCAAUGGAAAGUCUAGCUAAGGAUAUGGUGGAAAAAUGUAGAGGCUUACCUCUUGCAAUUGUUGUAUUGAGUGGACUACUUUCGCAUAGAUGGGGGCUAGACAAAUGGCAAAACGUGAAAGACUGCCUUUGGAAGGACAUUGAAGAAGACUCUAUUGAAAUCUCCUACAUACUAUCAUUAAGCUUCAACGAUUUGUCAGCUGCGCUCAAGAAGUGUUUUCUCUACUUUGGUGUUUUUCCAGAAGAUCAAGUGAUCGAUGCUGACGACAUAAUGCGGUUGUGGAUGACAGAGGGUUUCAUCAUACCAAGAGGAGAAGAAAGAAUGGAGGAUGUCGCUGAAGGCUUCUUGAAUGAGCUGAUAAGACGAAGCUUGGUUCAAGUAGCUCAAACAUUUUGGGAAAAAGUUACUGUAUGUAGGGUUCAUGAUUUACUUCGUGAUCUUGCCAUACAAAAGGCAUUGGAGGUAAACUUCUUUGACAUUUAUGAUCCAAGAAAGAACUUGAAAUCCACUUCAUGUAUAAGACAUGCCAUUCAUAGUGAAGGAGAAAGGUACCUCUCAUCACUUGAUCUUUCUAACUCGAAGUUGAGGUCAAUUAUGUUCUUUGAUCCACAUAUUUGUAAUGUGUUCCAACAUAUAGAUGUGUUCCGACAUAUAUAUGUGUUGUACUUGGAUAUUGAUUAUGGUAAAGUUAUACCUGAUGCCAUAGGGAGUUUGUACAACCUCAAGUUGUUACGCUUGAGUGUUGUCAGUAAAAUUCCCUCCUCCAUCGGCAACCUCAAGAAUCUACAGACACUUGUUGUUGUCAAUAUGGACAGACGCUUUUGCCAACUACCCCCCGAAACAGCUGACCUAAUAAAUUUAAGACAUUUAGUUGUUCCAUAUUCUAUACCUCUGGCAGGUAUAAGCAAACUCACUAGUCUUCAAGUUCUUCGCCUUGAUUGUGAUCAGUGGAAAGAAGUUGACCCAGUUGAUUUAGUCAAUCUUCGAGAAUUAGAGAUGCGUAAUAUAUACAAAUCUUACUCCCUAAACAACAUUAGCAGCUUGAAAAACCUUAACACUCUCAAAUUGUGUAUUUUGCUUGGUCCACAAUCUACAUAUCCAUUCCCAUCCCUUGAAUUUGUUAAUAGUUGUGAAAAGCUCCAGAAAUUGUUGUUAGGUGGGAGAUUAGAGAAACUGCCUGUGUUUCCAGAUUCCAUCACAAUGAUAUUUCUUUGGGAGUCAAGACUGACAAAAGAUCCGAUGCCUAUUUUGGGAAUGUUACCAAACCUAAGGAAUCUCGAAUUAGAAGCAGCUUAUGAAGGAGAAGAAAUAAUGUGCAGUGAUUACAGCUUCAGUCAACUAGAGCUCCUUCAUCUUUAUGGUCUUGACAACUUAGAAAGAUGGCAUUUAGGCACAAAUGCCAUGCCUCUCAUUAAAGAUCUUGUUAUCCAUCAUUGUCCAAAGCUGAGGGAGAUUCCAGAGAGAAUGAAAGACGUGAAGCAUUUCAAACGUAUAUGAAGUCUUAUAUGAUAAUAGGAAAGGUAAAUAUACAAACACAUCCCAAUCCUUCAUUUUUUUUCUUUUUUAUAUAAAUAAUAAUAUUUUUGUUAAAACAGGAGAUGAAGACAUUCAAGUUGAUGAAGAUGGGUUGUCCAAGCAUCAAUCAAGCUUCCGUCACUUUACUGAUUUUGUGAUUCUAGGCAAAAAUGAGGAUUUUUUUGGUUUUUGGCUUCUUUUUUUUUUUUUAGUGUGUGGAAUUGGUUGGAAGAGAUUUUUUUUUUGGGGGAAGUGGGGGUGGNNNNNNNNNNNNNNNNNNNNNNNNNNNNNNNNNNNNNNNNNNNNNNNNNNNNNNNNNNNNNNNNNNNNNNNNNNNNNNNNNNNNNNNNNNNNNNNNNNNNGGGAUCACCCCCGACGAAAAAUCCACGAUGAUCUCCUCGAUCUUCUCUUCUUCUUCUCCUUCUUCUCUUCUUCUUCUCUUCUUCUUCUCCUUCUUCUCUNNNNUCCUCGAUUUCCUCUUCUUCUCUUCUUCUUCUCUUCUUCUUCUCAAGCCCUAGCCUUCACUCUCUUAAAAUGGAACAAAAUGAUCCAAGUAUCAGCCUUACUCAACAAUAUAACCUCAAAAGAAAUAGCCAGGGAAAAGACCAAAAUGCCCUUAAUUUUCCGGAGAGAUUUCCCUGCCAACAGCCCAACUUCUAAAGGGCACAACUCGCUCAUACGAACUCGGAAUUGAGCAAACUCGGCGGUAUUGGAAAUAUCAUUCCACAAGCUUCACAACCAUAACUAGAACUACUCCUAACUCAUCCUGAGAUGGAAGUUAUGACUGCUCAAAGUUGGCCAAAAAUUCAUUUUUUUCACACUUAGCCAAAUUUCCAAAAUUUUAAAUUCUUUCCAAAAAUGACUAUUUUUGAUUUUUAAGCCGCUUCAUAGUUAUUUCAUCUUACCGGAUGUUACAAUAUCUCCCCCUUGGGAACAUUCGUCCUCGAAUGAGGUUACUCUUACAAGGCUAAGGGUGCAACAACAACUCAAACACCCAACAAGCAACUAUACAAACACAACAACAACCACAACAUGCUCAUUAUAAUUAAAAGAGCACUAAAAAGGAAAUUAAUACCUUAAUCUGCAUUUCCUUCGGAUUCAAAGAGAUGUGGAUAUCUCUUCUUCAUGUCUUCUUCGGCUUUCCCCAAAGUGGCUUCCUCAACAAAUUGGUUCCUCCAUAGGACCUUGACUGAGGCUACUUCUUUCGUUCUCAACCUACGAACUUGACGAUCUAAAAUCUGAACAGGAACCUCCUCAUAAGAUAAGUUAUCCUUGAUCUUAAAACUUUCAGUCGGUAGGAUAAAAUGAAGGAUCGCCUAUGCACUUCUUCAACAUGGAGAUGUGAAAUAUUGGAUGAACCGCUUCUAGUUCCUGUACUUUGGUAUUUGUCAACUGCGCUCAAGCAGUGUUUCCUGUACUUUGGUAUUUUUCCAGAAUAUCACGUGGUCCAUUUGAUCACAUAUUAUGGUUGUGGAUGGCUGAAGGAUUUGUACCAACAGGAAAAGAAAUAAUGGAGGAUGUUGUUGAAGGCUUCUUCAAUGAGUUGAUAAGACGAAGCUUGAUACAAGUGGUACACACAUUUUGGGAAAAAGUUGGUAAAUGUAGGAUUCAUGAUCUGCUUCACGAUCUUGCCGUACAAAAAGCAUUGGAGGUAAACUUUUUUGACAUUUAUGAUCCAAGAAAGCACUCCAUAUCCUCCUUGUGUCUUAAACAUGCCAUUCAUAGUCAAGGAAAAAGGUAUCUCUCACUCAAUCUUUCUAACUUGAAGGUUAGGUCACUUAUGUUCCUUGAUACGGAUAUUUUAAAGAUGGGUCUUAUAAAGUUCCAUAAUGUGUUCCAACAUCUAUAUGUGUUGUACUUGGAGAUUCAUGUUGACAAUAUGUGUAUACUGUAUAGUACCUGAUGCCAUAGGAGGUUUGUACCACCUCAAGUUCUUAAGAUUGAGAGGUAUCCAUGAUCUUCCCUCUUCCAUUGGCAAGCUCAAGAAUUUAUAGACACUUCUUGUCAAUGACUAUGGAUACUUUUGCAACUACCCCGCGAGACAGCUGACCUGAUAAAUCUAAGACAUUUAGUUGCUUCGUAUUCAAAACCUCUGAAACGUAUAAGCAAACUCACUAGUCUUCAAGUUCUUAAAGGCAUCCAUUGUGAUCAGUGGAAAGAUGUUGACCCUGUUGAUUUAGUCAAUCUUCGAGAAUUAAGCAUGCAUGAGAUUACCAAAACUUACUCACUAAACAACAUUAGCAGCUUGAAAAACCUUAGCACUCUAAAAUUGUGCUGUGUAGCUUAUGUAUCAUUCCCAAACCUUGAAUAUCUUAGUUCUUGUCAAAACCUUCAGAAAUUGUGGUUGGAGGGGCAAAUAGAAAAACUGCCUCUCUCAUAGCAGUUUCUGAAUUCCAUCGCCAUGAUGGUCCUUCGGUACUCAGAACUCAUGGAAGAUCCCAUGUCUACUCUAGGGAUGCUCCCAAAUCUAAGGAAUCUCGAUUUUGUUUAGAGCUUACGGAGGAAAAGAAAUUACCUGCAGUGAUAACAGCUUCAGCCAACUGGAGAUCCUUCGUCUUGAUUGUCUUGAGAACUUAGAAAGAUGGGUUUUAGCCAGAAGUGGCAUGCCUCUGAUUAAAGGUCUUGGUAUCCAGCGUUGUCCAAAGCUACAUGAGAUUCCUGAUAGAAUCAAAGACGUGGAGAGAACUCCUUUUCAAUGAAGCUUUUCAAGCAUAUAUGAUGUCCUAUUUCAGCUCUUUCAUAAUCGUAGAGGUAAUAAAUCCCAAUCCCCAAUGAUCAUUUCUUAAAUUCCUUUUAAUUACUCACUCUGCCGCAGAUUUGUUAGUAUAAUGUUUAAUUUUUAUACUAUGACAGUACAAUUUUUUUUACAUUAUCACCAUACUAAAAGAAGUCAACUAUAAACAAUUGUCUAUUAGUAAAUCACUUAUGCAUGAGAUUUUGUCUUGUAUCACAAAUUCACAACAACAACAUACCCGGUACUGUAUUCCCACAGAACGAGGUCUGGUGAGGGUAGAGUGUACACAAACCUUACCUCCACCUCAAAGAUGAGGUAGAGAGAUUAUUUCCAAUAAACUCUCAGCUCAAGAUAAAAACAGACUAGAAAAAGACGUAAUGGAAGUAGAAGAGACAAUAGGUAGUAACAAAACAACAGAUGAAAGCAAAACAGUACUACAACCAAAUAAUAUUACAAUCGAACUACACGAAACAAUAGAUAUCAAUAAAAUGAUUUUCUUCAUGCCAAAAACACACUGAAUUGUAUUGGUAAUCUAUUAUUUGGUCAACACUUGAUAUUGUCCUGAUCAUUAUGAUUAAUCAUCAAUUUAGGUUAUUGAUAAAUCUUUUGUUCUUUAUUGAAUACUAUUCCUCAUAUUAAAUAGUGUCUUACAAUUUUGGUUGAAUAGGAGAAGCAGCAGCUGGCAGGUGUGGAACUUUUUGCCAAGCAUUUCAAGAGAUUUACAUGGAGCAAGUCGGAUUUUAGAAAUAAUAAGCAUGUUUCUUUUGUUUUGGCUUUAGGUCAUGUGUUUAAAUUACAACUGUGACAUUCAAGAUUUUUUUUUUAAAAAUCUCCUUGUAUAUAUUUCUUGUUCCGCCACUGCCCACAUUUUGUUUCUUGUCAUAACUAAGUAUUAAAUAAGUAUGAGCUUUUAAGUUCGAGAUUCAGAAAUGAACUUUUUGUAAUUAUUAUCCAAGAAUAUUAUGGUAUAAUAGAUCUUUAUAGAAUUAUAGUCCACAAACAUAUAAUAACUCAAAACAGUGAUGACUAGCAGUGAUGCUUGUGGAAGUCAAUUAAGGAUGGUGUUGACGAAUGGUGGGGUGGGAUUAGUAGCUAGUGGUGAUGGUGUUGGCAGUGGAGGUUGAUGGUGGCCGUUGAUAGUUAAGUUGGAUAAUAGUGAUAAUUAAUGGUAAUGGGGACAAUGAUAGUGAUUGUCAAUAUAUAAUGUCGUGAUUAGUGGUUGUUGUAGACUUGUAGUACUGAUGGUUGGUGAAGAAGAUUAUAAAUGAUAGCUAGUGAGGUGAAGGAGCAUCCAAGUGGUAAGCUUGGCCCCUGGAAGCAGAUUUGGAGGAACAAGGUGCCACCAAGGUAAAGUGUUUCUCCGGGUUGGUUGCCAGAAGAGCAUGCUCCACUCAUGAGAAAUUGAAAAGGAGGGGUUUCUAUAUUGCCUCUUGGUGCUCUCUCUGUAAUGAGACUGAGGAAACCAACAACCAUUUGUUCCUCCAUUGCAAAGUGACAACACAAUUUUGGAACCUUUUUUUGGGACCAACACAUACAAAAUGGAUUAUGCCUGAGCAUACAGCAGAUCUACUUAGUUGCUGGAUCAGCAGAGGGGGGAGAAAAUCUAAGAAAAAGUGGUGGAGUAUAAUACCAUCAUGCAUCUGGUGGUGUAUUUGGAAAGAAAGAAAUAGCAGAUGCUAUGAUAACAAAGCUAAUCUAAUAGAGAAAGUCAAAUGGAACUGCUUGACUACUUUUUAUUUUUGGUGUAAAGAGGAAGGGAUAGACCACUCUUGCGAGAAGCCUAUACAUCAGUCCUAAUAUAGUCAAUAGAUUCCAUACAUGAGCUUGGAUAUGUGUUUCUCAAGAGUACAACACCAUGGAUCUCCUUAGGAAUAACAUAAAAUCCAUCAAAGGUUGCACCAAGGAAAAAGGAAACUCUAAAUUUGUUGGAAAAGAUGACGGAAAGAGAUCUAGAAAUUUACCUUCGUGAUCUUUUAAAAGAACCCAAAUACCUUGUGGUGGUCGAUGAUUUAUGGCAAAGAGAAGCAUGGGAAAGUCUAAAACGAGCAUUUCCGGACAGCAAGAAUGGCAGCAGAGUUGUUAUUACCACGCGCAAAGAAGAUGUCGCUGAAAGAGCAGAUAACAAAGGUUUUGUCUAUAGACUUUGUUUCCUGAGCCAAGAAGAAAGUUGGGAUCUCUUUUGUAGGAAACUACUAGAUGUUCAGGCAAUGGUCUCAGCAAUGGAAAGGUUAGCUAAGGAUAUGGUGGACAGGUGUGGAGGUUUACCUCUUGCAAUUGUUGUAUUAAGUGGACUACUUUCACAUAAAAAGGGGUUCGAAGAAUGGCAAAAGGUGAAGGUCCACCUUUGGCAGCACAUUAAAGACGACUCUAUUGAAAUCUCCUACAUACUAUCAUUGAGCUACAAUGAUUUGUCAACUGCGCUCAAGCAGUGUUUUCUGUACUUUAGUAUUUUUCCAGAAGAUCGAGUGCUCGAGGCUGAAAACAUAAUACGGUUGUGGAUGGCCGAGGGUUUCAUACCAAGAGGAGAAGAAAGAAUGGAGGAUGUCGCUGAAGGCUUCUUGAAUGAGCUGAUAAGACGAAGCUUGGUUCAAGUAGCUAAAACAUUUUGGGAAAAAGUUACUGAAUGUAGGGUUCAUGAUUUACUUCACGAGCUUGCCAUACAAAAGGCAUUGGAGGUAAACUUCUUUGACAUUUAUGAUCCAAGAAACCACUCCAUAUCCUCCUUAUGUAUCAGACAUGCCAUUCAUGAUCAAGGAGAAAAGUACCUCUUACUUGAUCUUUCUAACUUAAAGUAAAGGUCAAUUAUAUUCUUCGAUCCAAAUUUUCGGAACAUGAAUCUUAUAAACUUCAGUAGUGUGUUCCAACAUAUAUAUGUGUUAUACUUGGAUAUUCUUGGUGGCACUGUACCUUAUGCCAUAGGAAUUUUGUACCACCUCAAGUUCUUAAGCUUGAGAGGUAUUGGUAAUCUUCCCUCCUCCAUUGGCAACCUCAAGAAUUUACAGACACUUUGUGUCAAAAGUGAAUUUAGACAUUUGUGCCAACUAACCCCCGAGACAGCUGACCUAAUAAAUCUAAGACAUUUAGUUGCUCAGUAUUCUGAACCUCUGGUACGUAUAAGCAAACUCACUAGUCUUCAAAUUCUUAAAGACAUCUCUUGUGAUCAGUGGAAAGAUGUUGACCCUAUUAAUUUAGUCAAUCUUCUUGAAUUAAGCAUGAUUGAUAUUACUAAAUCUUACUCCCUAAACAACAUUAGCAGCUUGAAAAACCUUAGCACUCUCAAAUUGUUUUGUAGAGGUGGUCAAUCAUUCCCAGACCUUGAAUUUCUUUAUUAUUGUGAAAAGCUCCACAAAUUGUGGUUAGAUGGGAGAAUAGAGAAACUGCCUCUGUUACCAAAUUCCAUCACAAUGAUGGUUCUUUUGGAUUCAAAAACUUCAUGGAAGAUCCGAUGCCUAUUUUGGGAAUGUUGCCAAACCUAAGAAAACUCGAAUUUCUUAGAGCUUAUCAAGGAAAAGAGAUAUUCUGCAGUUAUAAUAGCUUCCGUCAACUCGAGUUCCUUAGUCUUGCUUGUCUUGAGAACCUAGACACAUGGCAUUUAGCCACAAGUGCCAUGCUUCUGAUUAAAGGUCUUCGUAUUGAUCACUGUAAAAAGCUGAACAAGAUUCCCCAGAGAAUGAAAGACGUGAAGCUUUUCAAGCAUAUGAGAGGUUUUAUUUGAUAAUAGCAAAGGUAAAUAUUCAAACAAAUCUCAAUCCUACAUAACUUUCUUCAUUUUUUUUCUUUUAUAUAAAUUAAUAUUUGUGUUAAACAGGAGAAGAAGUUGUCACUUGAACCAUUCACCUUCAUCAACUUGGGCUCUCAAUUUACUCAUUAUUUCAACAUUCAGUUUUUUUGUUUUAUUUUGGUUUUUCAAUGUUUCAUUUCUCUCUCUUUUUGUCUUUAUUUAGUGCAUGUGUGGAAUUGGUUCAAAGAGAAUUUGUUUUGGGAUUAUCUCACCUAAUACUAUUUGAGUCAUUUGUCUAAUGGUAGGGAUAUAUGUGAGCCACUUUUGUAAUGAGGGGGAUAUCAAUUCUACAUCGCAAAGUUGAGGGGUAGAUCAUACUUUUUCCCCUAAAAAAUAAAUAAAUUAUGCAUUAGCUUUGUGUAUUACUUGUACCUUGUCUGCAGGUAUAUUUUUUCAAUCUAUGUACACAUAAUACACCCUAUAUAUAAUUAAGAUGCGUAUAACAUUGGACUAUGGAUUUUAACUUUGGGUUUGCCCACUAUAUCAACUACCGCUAGUUAACAUAGACUUCAACAACCACAACUCGGCUAGCUCUAGCCACUAACUCAACUCAUAAUGAAAUGAACUGAUGUAAUCUAUUAUCCUUUAUAGCUUAAGAAUAUAUUUACAAUACGCGAGCACAAAAUCCUAUACUCAAAUAACAACUUAAGGCUUUGUGACACUCGAUCAGGUCCCUUGUUGCAUGUGAGAGUAGUUCUUCCUUGGAAAUGAUUUUUGCUUUUGAUAAUCUUGAUUGCAAAAAUUAGGUUGUUUCUUGUCAACAUAUCCAGUGUAUAAGAGAGACAAAACAACCUAAUAGCAUGUUAUUGGUCGAGGACUGCUGUUCUUUCUACGCGUUUAUUACCGUGCUCACCAAUCACUGCAGUUUCUACAGCUUUACAGUUGCACUCCAUUGACUUAUCCUGAAAGACAAAAACUCAAAGGACCUAGUCCCUUUAUCAGAUAUUAUUUCUCUAUAAUUUGUUAAAUCAUCAGAAUUCAAAAAUACAAAAUUUGAUUGGUUCCAUCAUACAUAGUGUUAAAAAAUUAAAGUAGAUUCGAUGUUACUUUCAUUAUCAUGAUGCCUACCACUUCAAGAAAGCAUCAAUCAAGUUUCUGUUACUUUACUGAUUAUUUCAACUUUUUUUUUGUUUUAGUUUUUCAAUGUUUAAUUUCUUUUUUGUUUUUGGCUUCUUUAAGUGUGUGGAAUUGGUUCAAAAGAGAAUUACGAUACACUUUUUCAAUCAAUGUAUAUAUAAUAUUAUAUAUACAUAGUAUUAAGGUGCGCAUACUAUUGGAUGGUGGAUUUUAACAUCGGGGUUGCCAUAUAAGUUGCAAAAAUCGCAUUCACACGCUUAUCUGGCAUGAAUCAUAGAUAAUGUGACAUGUGGACAAACAUUAUUUUAAGUGGCUCAAGGGUUGAGUAGUAGAGGUGGUCGAUAGGUCCUAGUUCUAGCUGAGGCGUCUAGUAAAGUGAACUCUGCGGAAAAUUUUGAAGGACCGCAGGUGACUUAAGCCUAUAUUCCUUGCCUGUUAACUUAAUAGUGAAGAAGAUAAUACAUAUUUCUAGAAGAAGCUUUAAUACAUAUUUCAAAAAAAAUGUACCUUUCACUUAGCUUGUUGCAACUUUAUCCUUUUUUAUAAUGGUAGUAUAAUCGCAAAUUCUUUUUUCAAAAAACACAUGGUCAUGUUUCAUUUUUUAAAAACAUAAAAUGGACCCUUUGAACACAUGACUAUUUAUGUCUGAGUGCAUAUAUCUCUUAUCUCCCAUUUUCUAACUUGUUUUCUAAUAUACUGCUUCCUCUUUUACAGAUAAAAAUCAAUACUCCUAACGAUGGCUGAUGCCUUUCUGUCAUUUGCAGUUCAGAAAUUGGGUGAUUUCCUCAUUCAGGAAGUUAACCUACGUUUAAGUCUAAGAGAGGAUAUACAGUGGCUGUGAAACGAGAUUCUCUUCAUGCAGUCUUUCCUCAAAGAUGCAGAACUAAAACAAUGUGGAGAUCAUAGAAUUCAACAAUGGGUGUUUGAGAUCAACUCUAUUGCUAAUGAUGCUGUUGCUAUGCUCGAGACUUAUAGAUUCGAGGCUGAUAAAGGUGCUAGUCGUCUCAAGGCUGAGAAAUGAGCUACUCUUCAUACAGUCUUUCCUCAGAGAUGCAGAACUAAAGCAAAGUAGAGAUCAAAGAGUUCAACAAUGGGUGUUUGAGAUCAACUCUAUUGCUAAUGAUGCUGUUGCUAUGCUCGAGACUUAUAGAUUCGAGGCUGAUAAAGGUGCUAGUCGUCUCAAGGCUUGCGCUUGCAUUUGUAGGAAGGAGAAGAAACUCUACAAUGUCGCCAAGGAGAUUCAAUCACUCAAGCAAUGAAUCAUGGAUAUCUCUCGCAAACGAGAGACUUAUGGUGUUACAAAUAUCAAUAGUAAUGCAGGAGAAGGGCCAAGUAAUCAGAUUAUAACAUUGAGGAGAACUACCUCAUAUGUGGAUGACCAGGAUUACAUUUUUGUUGGCUUUCAGGAUGUUGUACAAACAUUGCUAGCUCAACUUAUCAAAGCAGAGCCUCGUCGAACCGUCCUCUCCAUUUAUGGCAUGGGCGGAUUAGGCAAGACCACUCUUGCAAGAAACCUCUACACCAGUCCUAAUAUAAUCUCAAGCUUCCCUACACGCGCUUGGAUAUGUGUUUCUCAAGAGUACAACACAAUGGAUCUUCUUAGGAAUAUCAUAAAAUCCAUCCAAGGUCGCACCAAGGAAACUCUAGAUUUGUUGGAAAGGAUGACAGAAGGAGAUCUAGAAAUUUAUCUUCGUGAUCUACUAAAAGAACGCAAAUACCUUGUGGUGGUUGAUGAUGUAUGGCAGAAAGAAGCAUGGGAGAGUUUGAAAAGAGCAUUCCCGGAUAGCAAGAAUGGCAGCAGAGUCAUUAUUACCACGCGCAAAGAGGAAGUCGCUGAAAGAGCAGACAACAUAAGUUUUGUUCAUAAACUUCGUUUCCUAAGUCAAGAAGAAAGUUGGGAUCUCUUUUGUAGGAAACUACUUGAUGUUCGAGCAAUGAUUCCAGCAAUGGAAAGUCUAGCUAAGGAUAUGGUGGAAAAGUGUAGAGGCUUACCUCUUGCAAUUGUUGUAUUGAGCGGACUACUUUCGCAUAAAAAGGGGCUAAACGAAUGGCAAAAGGUGAAAGACUGCCUUUGGAAGAACAUUAUUGAAGAUAAAUCUAUUGAAAUCUUCAGCAUACUAUCAUUAAGCUUCAAUGAUUUGUCAGUUGCGCUCAAGCAGUGUUUUCUGUACAUUGGUAUUUUUCCAGAAGAUCAAGUGAUCGAUGCUGAAGACAUAAUACGUUUGUGGAUGGCAGAGGGUUUCAUCAUACCCAGAGGAGAAGAAAGAAUGGAGGAUGUCGCUGAAGACUUCUUGAAUGAGCUGAUAAGACGAAGCUUGGUUCAAGUGGCAAAAAUAUUUUUGGAAAAAGUGUAGGGUUCAUGAUUUACUCCGUGAUCUUGCCAUACAAAAGGCAUCCGACACAAACCUCUUUGACAUUUAUCAUCCAAGAAGGCACUCCAAAUCCUCUUCAUGUAUCAGACUUUCCAUUCAUAGUCAAGGAGAAAGGUAUCACUCACUUGAUCUUUCUACUUUGAAGUUGAGGUCAAUUAUGUUCUUCGAUCCAGUUUUUCCUAAUGUGUCCCAACAUAUAUAUUUGUUUCGACAUAUAUAUGUGUUGUACUUGCAUAUGGAUUAUGGUGGUGUUCUACCUGAUGCCAUAGGGAGUUUGUACCACCUCAAGUUGUUAAGCAUUAGAUCAGGUGUCUGUAAUAUUCCCUCCUCCAUUGGCAACCUCAAGAAUUUACAGACACUUGUCAUUGUAAAUGGGUACGCAUCAUUUUGCCGACUAUCCCGCAAGAUAGCUGACCUAAUAAAUCUAAGACAUUUAGUUGUUCAAUAUUCAGAGCCUCUGAAAUGUAUAAACAAACUCACGAGUCUUCAAGUUCUUAAAGGCAUUCGUUGUGAUCAGUGGAAAGAUAUUGACCAUGUUGAUUUAGUCAAUCUUCGAGAAUUAAGCAUGGAUCGUAUCAGGAGCUCUUACUCCCUAAACAACAUUAGCAGCUUGAAAAACCUUAGCACUCUCAGAUUGUCUUGUCAAGAUUAUGAUGAAUCAUUCCCAUCCCUUGAAUUUGUUAAUUGUUGUGAAAAGCUCCAGAAAUUGUGGUUAAAAAGGGAGAAUAGAGAAACUGCCUAAUCUGUUUCCAAAGUCCAUCACAAUGAUGGUUUUGAGGAACUCGGGACUGACAGAAGAUUCGAUGCCUAUUUUGGGAAUGUUGCCAAACCUAAGGAAUCUCAAACUAGAAGAUGUUUAUGAAGGAAAAGAAAUAAUGUGCAGCGAUAACAGUUUUAGUCAACUCAAGUUCCUUAAUCUUGAUCAUCUUCAAAACCUAGAAAGAUGGGAUUCAGGCACAAGUGCAAUGCCUCUCAUUAAAGCUCUUCAUAUCUAUGAAUGUCCAAACCUGAAGGAGAUACCAGAGAGGAUGAUUGACUUGAAGAAGCUUGAAGAGACCAAGUUUUUUUUGUACAAAUAGUGUGUUAAUAUUUGGGUUAAACAGGAGAAGAAGUUGGCAUGAAUCAAGUUGGAUUAUUUCAACAUUCAUUUUUUUUUGUUUGAAUAAAAUCAAUAUUAUUUUAUAAAGCAUAUAAUAAAUUAUUAUCAUAGCAAUUAACUAUCAUGUUUAGUUUUUCGGAGCACUUUUAAUAUUUGAUUAUAAAAUAGUGUCGGCUAUAAUGCUUAGGAUCGAAGAGAGUUGAUCAGCAUUCGGCAUUUUUUGAUGCUAUUUUAUAAAGCACAUGUGAUUAUACCGUUUAAGCUAUUUUUUGCACCUAUUAAAUAAAUUCGGAGAUUAUCAUUCAAAUGAAGUUAGCAAAUUAAAUAGAAAAAUCUAGACUUAAUAAGAAUGUACCUGAAAAUUAGAAGACACACUUUUGUACUAGCUUAACGACAGAAGCAUAUAUUGAAUGACUGAUAUUAGGUACAGUAAAACCUCACUAAAUUAAUACUCAAUAAAUUAAUAAUCUCUCUAAGAUAAUAUUUUUUUUGGGUCCCGGCUUGGGCCAAUAGAAAAAAUCACUUAUUUCGAUAAGUUAAUAUGAUAAUAUAUUUUCAACAAACCCCUAUAUAAAUAUAUGGUCCCAUCAAUAUUAUAAAUUAAUAAUUCCUUAAAAGUACAAAUAUAUCUAAGACGAUUUAGUGAAAUGUGAUUCUAUUGUGUUUUUUUUUUNNNNNNNNNNNNNNNNNNNNNNNNNNNNNNNNNNNNNNNNNNNNNNNNNNNNNNNNNNNNNNNNNNNNNNNNNNNNNNNNNNNNNNNNNNNNNNNNNNNNNNNNNNNNNNNNNNNNNNNNNNNNNNNNNNNNNNNNNNNNNNNNNNNNNNNNNNNNNNNNNNNNNNNNNNNNNNNNNNNNNNNNNNNNNNNNNNNNNNNNNNNNNNNNNNNNNNNNNNNNNNNNNNNNNNNNNNNNNNNNNNNNNNNNNNNNNNNNNNNNNNNNNNNNNNNNNNNNNNNAAUAGGACCUUAGUAAAGGUUAGGUGUGUCUUAGGGAUUUUGGCAUAGGCUGAGGGGGUACUUAUGCAUUUUCCCAAAUUUAAUUCUAGUUGAAGGUCAUCUUUAACUUUUCUUAUUACAUCAAAAAGUUCUGGUGUUGUUUUUUCGAACGACACCAUAAAAUUGUGAAUAGUUCUAGAUGCGAUAAGUGUUUUCUUACGCGUAACUGGUUGCAAAGGUAUUAUAUCAUCUUCAACUUCAUCAUCCACGUUGUUUUUUUAUGGUAUCCACAAUUUCUUCUAACUAAUGGACUCUGAACAUGUAUCACUUUCAUCCAGGUAAUCCAAAAGGUUAUUGAUGUUAAUUUUUUUGCGGUAACGGGGAUCAUUGAUCAUGGCCUCAAAUUCAUGAAUGACGUUUUCACAAAACACUCUUUAAAUUAAUAAAUAUUAAUUUAUUGAUUAAAUAAACCUCUACAAAAUAAUAAUAUUUCAUUGGCCCACCUAUAUUAAUUUAGUGUGAUUUUAUUAUAUGUUUAUACAGUGUAGUCUUGAAGAUUUGAUGGUAAAAACUCUUUCGUAUUCCUCAAUCACUUAAUUUGAUUCCUUUCAAGUUUUCAACUAUUAAAGUAGGUUCUCAUUUACUCCCCUAUUAUGUUAAUUUAAAUAUUAUUAUUUAAUUAGAUAUUUAAUUUAUGUUUAGAGUAAUUAUUUUAUUACAUUUUAAUUUAGUAUAGGAUCAAAAUGGUAAUCUAAUUUUACACGUGAUAGAUUUUCACUUUUGAUAAUAUAUGAUGAUGAUAAUUUAAUUAAGAUAUAUCUCUAUAAUUUCGAUCAUAGUCUAGGGGUAGUUGUCUCUUAUCCCAAUUUUAAUCACAUAAGUGGACACACUAUAUACUCUCACAUUUAUGUCUUACUACUUCUGAGUGUAUUCCAAUAUACACCCCCCACCCCCCUCUUAUUUUCAAUCAAAAGUAGUAUUCCUGAAGAUGGCUGAUGCCUUUCUGUCAUUUGUAGUUCAAAAAUUGGGUGAUCUUCUAAUACAGGAAGUUUCCAUGCUUACAAGUCUGAGAGAUGAAGUUAAAUGGCUGAAGAAUGAGCUACUCUUCAUGCAGUCUUUCCUCAAAGAUGCAAAACAAAAGCAAUGUGGAGAUCAAAGAGUUCAACAAUGGGUGUUUGAGAUCAACUCUAUUGCUAAUGACGUUGUUGGUAUACUCAAGACUUAUAACUUCGAGGUUGGUAAAAGUGAUGACAUUGGAUUUGCUAGUUGUCUCAAGAAAUAUAUUCUACAAUGUCGCCAAGAUGCCAAGGAGAUCCAAUCACUCAAGCAACGAAUCAUGGAUAUUUCUCGCAAACGAGAGACUUAUGGUAUUACAAAUAUCGAUAAUAAUGCUGGAGAAGGUCCAAGCAAUCAGCCUUCCAUGGUUACAACAUUGAGGAGAACUAACUCCUAUGUGGAUGAUCAGGGUGACAUUUUUGUUGGAUUUCAGGAUGUUGUAGAAAGAUUGUUGAAAAUUGUUUUUAGUUACUGCAGUAGACUUUAGUAUAAGAAGUUGCUAGGUUUAAGAUUUUUGAAUUUUAAAUUAUGCAGAUUUUGUGUUUAAGUUGGUUACUUCCAGUUGUUUUUUUUUCUCAAAUCUCUCAAGGUAGAGAUAAAAUAUGGGUACAUACUACCUUUCUCAGAUCCCACUUAUGGGAUUACGUUGGGUAUGUUGUUGAAGUUUUCACUAGUCCAAAUCAAAUGUCAUUCUAAUAGGCUCAUAGCUUUUAUACCUUUAUAAAGGUUGUUCAUUUGAUCCCAAGAUCCAAAUAAGGCUACAAAGUCAAUGUCUUAGUACUUGGUCGAAUAAGUGUAUCUUAAGAUCAUCCAGUUAACAAUCAAAGACACUGACAAUCAGAAUAUCCUCUAUGCACAAUGCAGCUAUGUAAUAAAGCUCACAACUCGAUUAAGGCUGCAACAUGUAAUUUGUUUUGUUUAUUUUAUGACACGAGAUGAAAUCAUGCAUCUACAAGCAUAUUCAUACUGAAUUGCACAACUACUUCAGAGUUCUGAGCAUAGCUUCUCACAAAGAGGAUUCGGUGAUCGCUGAGACAAAAUUUGAUGAAUGGCACACUGGCAAAUUGCAGUCAGACUGUCGAGACAUAAAAUUGAUCUCCAGCAGUCCAAGCCAUUACAUUUGCGGAAAGAAAUGGAUUUUUCAGAUCAAAACUAUUUCCGCUAUCCUGCUAAGCCUGAAGUUUGAGCAGAAACUAACAUCAGCUGAUGAUCAUCUUGUUCAGGAAUUCAGCUUGCUCAGGAAAGUAUUCCAACAGUUCAUCUUUGGUCACCCAGACAAAAUCAUCACAUUUUCUAAUAUCAAACUUGUUGGCUGCAAUAACUUGGGAUUUGAAGAAGAAGCGCUGCCACAAUAAAAUAUAGAAUAUAUACAUAAGAAGCACAAACUUUGCAGAAGCUAUCAGGGAAUUUCCCUCCCUCCGUCCCUCGCUCCAUGUGGGAUGACAGAAUUUCUUACUGUCCUUUUCUUCAAUACUUCAAUAAUUAAAAUGUACAUACCUUGAUUGACGGGAUUUUCUUGUCUUCAGUGGAUUGCAUGACCAUAUGACCCAUAGGGGCAUUUCCAACAAAAUAUGUAUGUGAAAGAUCUCCAAUGAAAGAUUCUAGAGCAGACUCAGCACACUGCAAAUAGUUGCAACUUAUAUUCAUUUUUCUAACCCAAAUUACUGAAAUCACCAAAGAAAUGGACUGACUAAGUACUAGUUACCUUGCGCAAAUUCUCUUCAGACUCGUAAACUUUUUCAGGGAAAUGCCAGACAGGCUUUCCACUACCUUGUGUGGCACCAUGGACUAGAAGAUAGAGUCUCCUGUCUAGUGCUCGAUGUAAUGACCUUGUGCAUAUCAACAAAAUUUCAUAAUCAGUAACAUGAAAUACUAACCAGCAGAAGGAAACAAAAGCUUUGAAUAUCUGUUGACACAUUAUUCAUGUUCAGGAAAAUGCAAAGGUUUUGUAUAGGGUUAGUACCUUUUAGCAAAGUUUGACCAAGUGAUGAGUUGAAAAACAGACGCAAGCUUUAUUUUGUGGUGUAGAGGGUGAAGAAGGCAUAUAAAAGGAAAAAAAAAGCAACAGUAGCUCUCCAUUCUUAAUUUUAAAUACUUACACAAUGCACAAUUAGACAAAUCUCAUGUAACUAACACAUCAAUUACUUUGAGACAAUAUUAAGGCAUUUCGACAUUAAAAAUUUAGUUAUGGUAAACAAUUUAGAAGUUAAUAAUUACCUAUUGUCAGGAAAUAUGAGUCUGCUGAAUUUAGGUAAAGCAACUCUUGAAAGAAAAAUAUCUUCUAGUGCAAUGUCCAUAUUCAAAUUCUUGUAUAAUAUUUGACAAAUGUUAGAAGUUCAAGCUAUAGUACCUUUGAUCAUUAGUCUUAUCUGCUUCUGAGAUUCGAGGAGCGGGUUUAUAAUCAAUUUGAUAAUCACCUUUUCCCCUGCAUGUAAAAUAUAGAUGUAACGGUGCCACUUGACCAUGUGGCAUUUGACACUAGACAGAACAGUAUGUGAUAGCAUGUUCAAGAAGAACCAUGUACAUAAUUAAUGGCUAAUAAGGAAGAAUGCAUGAAAGAAAAGGCAAUAAUACUACACAAGCCAAGGAGUAAAAAUCAGUUGGAUCAUACUGCUAAAAGAGGAGACAGUGUUUACUCUCCAACAUGCAUACUGUUGCAUGCAGAGAUCUCAAUUUCUUAAAACGUGAUCUAUAUAGAUACAAAAGAGAUUAGGCCAUUUUUACCACCAUGUACUUUUUCUGAAUAGAAAGUAAAGUUUUUAAAUUGUAAAUGGCCAAUGCUAAGAUAGUAAUGCUCACUGCCCAGUACCAAAGGGUAUUCUCCAAGUUACAGAAACCAAUUUCUCAUGGGACCAAGUUACUAUUAUUUCUUUUUCUGCUUUUGAGUUAAGCUUAUAAAUUUUUUCCAACAAAUGAUUGGCAACAAAGGGAUUUUUUUUAAAGUGAACCGAGGGGGUAUAAUAGUAUAUUAAUGAGAUUCAUGCAUAUGUUUAGGAGGGGUGAACCAGAAAUAAUUAUAGGUAUAGCCAUCUUUAUUAUGUUCCCUAGCUUCUCAUGUUUUGAUGUGCUACGUUUUCCAAGAAAAAAUCAUCACAGAUUUGAAGGGAAGAGAGAACCACAACUGCAACUCGGAGUACUAUGCCAUUUAUUCUUUUUCUGGAGUCAACAGAAGCUUAACGUAUUUGUGAAAAAAUUACAUUUUAUUAAGUUUAAUCAUAUAGUUCUUGCACAAAGGAAUCCCAAAAGUUUUCAAACAAGAAAGGAGUAAAAGGGCUAAAACGCCAAAAAUCUAUUAACUUUUGUCAGUAGUGGAAGCGACAAUUAUUCAUGUCUUCCUGCUGUAAAGUAAAUUCUGCAAUCUAUGGGGCUGAUAGGUUUAGAAUGCUUGACAGCAAUUGUAUGGAUUAAUGGUGGAGAAGUCCAAACUGGAAGAAAGGCAUGUUUGUGCAAAAUGAAUCAGAAACUGAGAAGAUUAGUUUCCAGAAAUUUAGACUUCAGAAAGCUAGAUAGUCAAGAGUAAAAUAUUGGUAAGAUAAGGAAAACCUUGAAAUCUCUCCAUGACCAAUUGUGCCAUUAGUUUUAGUAAGCCAUAAUGAAUGUGUUUUAUUUAGUAUUUAUGACAGAUUCCAUGCCUGUUGCAAUGAGCUCUUUUUCCUCAACUGUUUACCCACUUCUUUGUUCAGUUGUGAGUACAAAUCCUUCCUUUUAACUGCUAAUGGUAGUUUAAAAAGAGAACUUGACCUAGAAAGAAUAUUUUCCCAGAUUUUCAAAUUCAGGAGUUCUGAAAACUAGCAAAAUACCUCUAGUGCUGGAUUCCAGAACUUAAAGUCUUAAACAAUCUAAGGAAAACAGAAAAGCACUAAACUACAAUCAUAAACAAGGAGUUACUAAUAAUUAUUUUGCAAAAUUUAUCACCCAUCCAAAUUUUGAACUUAUGGUUUAAUUCUUGGUUAUUUUCUUUGUCGUGGAUGGAAUCAACCCGUGCUGCUCAUAACCUUUUUUAAUCACUGUAUGCAGAACAGAGAUGAUUCUUCCCUGAAGAAAAUUCACCAGUACUUACACCAAGAUCUCUCAUUUAGACAAACUCUAUUUCUAGAGUAAAGAAGAAUGCUCAGAAAAUCUUCAAAACUUUUCGACUUUUAAGCGCUCUUCAUGCUAUUAAACUCCUAAAGCAAUUUCACUGGUCUAUUAUGUUUUAACUUAUUUCAUGCAUCCUAUGCACACUCUUCAUACCAUUCAUCAGUUAACAUUUCAUAAAUGAAGAUACAUAAUUCACAAAAAGAGGUAUUAAAUGGCAAGGUGUAAUUCAAGCAAUGCAACAGAAAUGUACCUGGUAUCAGACUUCUUCAGAAAACUUUCUGGAUACUCUCGCCGAUAUUGCUGCCUCCAACGAAACCUAUAAAAGAAAUUAAUAAUAAAAUUAUUGCAAUCAACUAAACACCGAUUACAUUAAACAAUCAUCUACAUUGUCAUUCGCCAACUCUUAUUCAUGAACCUUUGCUCUUUUUUAUCCUUCUCAUUUUCUCCUUUUGCUGGCAUCUUAGUUACCAACCCAUUCUAUAACCUCAUUAUUCUCAACUUCAUUACACAUUAUCUCCUAGUAUUAGAAACCACUGCAAAAUUUUGGACAAAAGAAACUCUUUUCUUUCUUAGAUAUACUUCGUCAAACUUACAAAAUAGUGAAGAUUCAUAAAUUUGACCUGACUAAUUUGGGAUUGAGGCAUAAUUAUUGUUUUUUAGUACUAUUUUUCUCAAGCAAACAUAUCAAAGUACCCCUUAAUCCCUAAUUAACCAUCACAGUUUCUGGAAAGCGAAAAAAAUAAUUUUGAUCAUUCUAUUAUACGAACCAGCAUUUAUAUGAUUUAGGAACGAUAGUACACCCGUAUAAGCUAAUGAACUUAUAGCUCUAAAAGUAAAUCAUUGUAAUUGGAUUACAAAAGGCUUGAUUACAUUUCGAUUUCGUGCAACAAUUGAACAGAAAAAAGUAAAACUUACGAAAAUUCUUGAAAAGCAUAUACAGUAGGAUUGAUUUUGGGAACCACUACCGGUAAUCUUUCGAAGAGCACUGAAGCGACAAUUUUAUCAUUGUUGGAUGAAGAAAACCAUCGUUUACCUAUCGCAGAUCGACCCGCAGAUGAACAGCACCUCUGCAUUUUCAUAAACCCUAGAAACCCAAAUUCCACAGUACUGACAGGGAAUUGAAAUUUCUCGGGUUGAAAUUUAUGGGCUUGGGAUUCAGAUUGGAAUUUAUGGGCUUGGGACUUGGGUUGAAGUAUGAAAUUUCAAUAAAGAUUAUUAAACUUAUCUAUUCUUUAAGUAUUGAUUUUUCAGCUUAUAAACACUUUUAGUUUGAUCAAUCGUUGUAUUAUUGUAUCUCUACCAUAUUUUAGUAUUGCUUGAUCCAAAGGCGGUGAAAUUUUCAUCUGUUGCGUGGAGUAUAUAUUAUUUUCAUAUUGCUUUUAUUCCAUAUCUUAUUGUAAAGCUUAAAUAGUUUUCACUUCAUAUUUAUGUAUUGAUUCAGUUGAGUUGUUUUAUGGGGGAUAAUGUGUUUUGUUAAACAUAAGUAUCAAUACUAGUUGAUCUUAUUGAUGACAAAAUUGAUUUUCUUGCAAGAUCAAUUUGUGUCCGUCUAGUAUUGACACUUAGUGUCACGCUCCCAGCCUACACCCUGGACGUGACAGAUGUGUUGGGUAUUAAUUACUCGGAGUUUCUUACCAUAAAUAGGUUUUUCUUUUUAAGAAAAGGUUUUAAUAUUUGGCUAAUUAUUUUCUUGUAGGAAAAGGUUUAGGACUCUAUAAAUAGAGGUUUGUUCUUCUAACUUAAUCAGCAUUCACAAUGUAGUCCUAGGGUUUUGAGAGUUUCGGUUAUGAGGGAGAAUUUGUGAACCUCUUUGUAUUCCAAGUGAAUUGGUUGAGGUUGUUUCUCUCUAUAUUUUGUACUCUCAUAUUUAUAUAGUGGAUUUCUCGUCUCCUUUGUGGAUGUAGGUCGAUUGACCGAACCACGUUAAAUCUUUGUGUCUUUUGGUAUAUUUCUCGUUUGUUUUCUUACUCGUGGUCUUUCGAAGUUUGUUUUGCUAGUUUCUACAUGACACCUAAUUAUUUUCGAUCCUAACGCGAUGAUGCAACAAGUAAGGCAUAUUGCUUGUAUUUUGAGCAUUGGUCGUUAAACCUCAAAUCGUCUUGUUUGUUUUCCAACUGGAGUUAAGUAGAAUCGAGAGGAUUCAUUUGUGGAAAAUUAUAUAGUUUAUACAUAGUUAAAAUAAAUACAUUUUAUGUAUAUAUAUAUAUAUGGUAGAAUUGAUUUCUUCGUGUAUUUACUUCUUCAUAUCAUAAUUUAAACUAAUGAAAAGUCGUAUUCUGUCAAUGUGAUAUCUACGCAAGGAAAUCACAAAUGUAACUUGUUGGUUUCUUUUUUUUCUGUGUUUGAAAAUACUUUUAACCCAUGUUAAAAGUGAAACACAACACGAAAGUUAAAAACAAGAAAGCUUCCACCAUAGAAAUAUUAAUAAUACUGGUAACAUAUGCCCCAACAAGGGGGGAUUAUAUUACUACUAGUGAAACAAAGCAAUUAGGAAAAAAAAAAAAAAAAGACCAACAUGGCUUCAUUCUUGAUUCUACACUUGACUUAGAGUUUGCCAAAUGAGUGAGCAAGGUAAGUGGCAGGUUCAGAUUGCUCGUAAUCUGAACGAUCGUCUGGGAAAUGAUCGUGCUGAUCAGGACCACCCACCACAGCCCCCACUAGUAUGUUCGGGUUUGGUGAUUGUGAAUUCAUCACACUGAAACCAGACCUGCAUUGUAUCUUUGCUGGAUGGUUCGCGAUUGAGGAUCCCCUGUGAUGAAUCCUCUGUGGAUACCUAGCUCCAUGUAUGAUAUUUUUAGUGAAUUGUCUCCUAACAAAUAGUCCACCUGUGCGUUCAAAAAAAAGGAACGAGGCUUAACUUUUAUGCACUGAUUAAAUCCUCUUGUCCAUCACACCAAACGACCCCUGAGGGUUUGCUAUAUACUUAAAAUAUUCACUUUCAUUGUUGAGCUAGGGGUGUGCAAAAACCGAUUUAACCAAUAAACCGAACCGAAAAAAAUACUAUUGAUUUAUUGAUAUUGGGUUAUUGGGCUAACGGUUUUUAAACGGUUUUGCAAAAAAAUUUAUUGGGUUAUUGGUUCGGUUUCCGGUUUUAUAAUUUUUGUUAAUGAUUAAACCGAUAACCCAAUAAGACUAUACUAAAUUUACUUUUAUUGGGUUAUUGGUUUGGUUUCCGGUUUUAUAUUUUUUGUUAAUGGUUAAACCGAUAACCCAAUAAGACUAUACUAAAUUUACUAGUCUUAUUGUUAAUGGUUAAACGAUUGUUACUUUCACACUUUUUCCUUUGAAUGUGUCUAGUGUCUAAACUUGCAAGAAAAAUGAUUGUUACUUUUAUGAUUAUUACUUUCAUGCUAAAUGCUGGAAAAAUCAUAUGGUUUAUUUGAAAAUUUUCUUAUCGUGUAUAUAAUAUAUAUGAGUAUUUUCUUAUUGGUUAAACCGAAAACCGAACCGUUAAGUACCAUAAACCGAUUAACCAAAAACCGAUAAGAAAUAUGUUAUUGGUUUGGUUAUCGGUUUGAUGUAUUUACAAACCGAAAACCGAUAAACCGAACCAAUAACACCUAAAACCGAACCGAACCGACCGAUGCGCACCCCUAUGUUGAGCAAUGUGAUAAAAAGAAAGUCAAAGUACACACAAUAUUCAGCACUAGCAAAGUUCUGGGAAGGACCGCACCAAAAAAUAGGGCACAUUUCACUUUCAUUGCUCUAAUUUUUGAAAAUGGGAACACUUUGAUUUUCUCCUAUUCAUCCACAUUUGUGUUUGACAUAUUUGACAAUAUUAUUUCUUUUUAUUAUGUGAACCAUUGGACAAUAAUACAUAUAAUUAUUACUUUAAGACUUUUCUCCGUAGAUAUUUUCCCACAAGUUGUUUAAUGGUUGUUGAAUAAGCUUUAACACAUAUUUCAACAAUUACACAAGUGGAGCCUUUGAACACACUAUUUAUCUCUACUGCUUCUGAGUGUAUAUCUCUAAUCCCAAUAUACAUCCCCCUCUUUUCCAGAUAAAAAUCAACACUUCUGAAGAUGGCUGAUGCCUUUGUGUCAUUUGCAGUUCAAAAAUUGGGUGAUUUCCUCAUACAGCAAGUUUCCCUGCGUAAAAAUCUGAGAGAUGAAGUUAGAUGGCUGAGAAAUGAGCUACUCUUCAUGCAGUCUUUCCUCAGAGAUGCAGAACUAAAGCAAUAUGGAGAUCAAAGAGUUCAACAAUGGGUGUUUGAGAUCAACUCUAUUGCUAAUGAUGCUGUUGCUAUACUCGAGACUUACAGCUUCGAGGCUGGUAAAGGUGAUGACGAUGGAUUUGCUAGUCGUCUCAAGGCUUGCGCUUACAUCUGUAGGAAGGAGAAGAAAUUCUACAAUGUCGCCAAGGAGAUUCAAUCACUCAGGCAACGAAUCAUGGAUUAUAACAGUCCUAAUAUAGUCAAUAGCUUCCCUACACGCGCUUGGAUAUGUGUUUCUCAAGAGUACAACACAAUGGAUCUCCUUAGGAAUAUCAUAAAAUCCAUCCAAGGUUGCACUAAGGAAACUCUAGAUUCGUUGGAAAGGAUGACAGAAAGAGAUCUAGAAAUUUACCUUUGUGAUCUAUUAAAAGAGCACAAAUACCUUGUGGUGGUUGAUGAUGUAUGGCAGAGAGAAGCAUGGGAGAGUUUGAAAAGAGCAUUCCCGGAUGGCAAGAAUGGCAGCAGAGUCAUUAUUACCACGCGCAAAGAGGAUGUCGCUGAAAGAGCAGACAACAGAGGUUUUGUCCAUAAACUUCGUUUCCUAAGCCAAGAAGAAAAUUGGGAUCUCUUUAGUAGGAAACUACUUGAUGUUCGAACAAUGGCUCCAGAAAUGGAAAGUCUAGCUAAGGAUAUGGUGGAAAAGUGUAGAGGCUUACCUCUUGCAAUUGUUGUAUUGAGCGGACUACUUUCGCAUAAAAAGGGGCUAAACGAAUGGCAAAAGGUGAAAGAUCACCUUUGGAAGAACAUUAAAGAAGAUAAAUCUAUUGAAAUCUCCAAGAUACUAUCCUUAAGCUACAAUGAUUUGUCAACUGCACUCAAGCAGUGUUUUCUCUACUUUGGUAUUUUUCCACAAGAUCAAGUGCUCGGGGCUGAUAGCAUAAUACGGUUGUGGAUGGUCGAGGGUUUCACACCCAUAGGAGAAGAAAGAAUGGACGAUGUCGCUGAAGGCUUCUUGAAUGAACUUAUAAGACGAAGCUUGGUUCAAGUGGCAAAAACAUAUUGGGAAAGAUUUACUGAAUGUAGGGUUCAUGAUUUACUCCAUGAUCUUGCGAUACAAAAGGCAUUGGAAGUAACUUCUUUGACAUUUAUGAUCCAAGAAGCCACUCCAUAUCCUCUUUAUGUAUCAGACAUGUGAUUCAUAGUCAAGGAGAAAGGUACCUCUCACUUGAUCUUUCUAACUUAAAGUUGAGGUCAAUUAUGUUCUUCAAUCCAAAUUUUCGUAAGAUGAGUCUUAUAAACUUCAGGAGUGUGUUCCAGCAUCUAUAUGUGUUGUACUUGCAUAUGCAUGGUGGGAAUAUGUCUAUAGUACCUGAUGCCAUAGGAAGUUUGUACCACCUCAAGUUCUUAAGAUUGAGAGGCAUCCAAGGUCUUCCCUCUUCCAUUGGCAACCUCAAGAAUUUACAGACACUCUAUGUCAAUGACGGCAUACAGUAUUGUGAACUACCCCAUGAGACAGCUGAGCUAAUAAUUCUAAGACAUUUUGUUGCCCUGUAUUCAAAACCUCUGGAACGUAUAAGCAAACUCACUAGUCUUCAAGUUCUUCAAAACAUCUGUUGUGAUCAAUGGAAAGAUGUUGACCCUGUUGAUUUAGUCAAUCUUCGAGAAUUAAGCAUGCAUGAUAUUACCAAACCUUACUCCCUAAACAACAUUCGCAGCUUGAAAAACCUUAGCACUCUUAGAUUGUUGUGUUGUGCUGAUGAAUCAUUCCCAUCUCUUGAAUUUGUUAAUUGUUGUGAAAAGCUCAAGAAAUUGAGGUUAGAAGGGAGAAUAGAGAAACUGCCUCAUCUGUUUCCAAAUUCCAUCACAACGAUGGUUCUGAGGUUCUCAGUACUGACAGAAGAUCCGAUGCCUAUUUUGGGAAUAUUGCCAAACCUGAGGAAUCUCGAUUUGCUUAGAGCUUAUGAAGGAAAAGAAAUAAUGUGCAGUAAUAACAGCUUCAGUCAACUAGAGUUCCUUCAUCUUUAUGAUCUUGAGAAGCUAGAAAGAUGGGAUUUAGGCACAAGUGCCAUGCCUCUGAUUAAAGGUCUUGGUAACGAUGACUGUCCAAAUUUAAAGGAGAUUCCCGAGAGAAUGAAAGACGUGGAGCUGUUGAAGAGGAAUUAUACGUGGUGAAGCUUUUCUAGCAUAUAUCAUCUCUUAUUUCGGCCUCUUCAAAAUCUAAGAGGUAUUGAUGGGGGAAUUUCUGCCAAGCACUUGAAGACAUUGGUUAUUUCAGGGCUGUCAAUGAGAGUGGUUUUAGUGUUUGAUUUCUUAUUGUUUUAAGCUUUUUGAGUGAGUCUAAUUGGUUUGAACAUAAUUGUUUUUGACAAAAAUGAUUUUGUGAUGUAUUAAUUAAUUGUCUACUGUAUGUUCCCUUACUUAUCCACAUUUAAGACAAUGCUUUAUAUGUUAAAUUAAAACUUGUCCACAAUUUAGUAUUUUUUGUUCCUCCUUGAAUAGCAAAGGAGUUCAUUUAUCUAACUAACUUCGGUAUAUUAAGUUUUUGGUUUUUGGUUUCAGACAGAUUCGAAAACUACUUAUACUGUAAAAUUAGAGAUGCAACGCAUACCAAAAUAAUCCAAUCAUUAGAAGUCUAAUUUACUGACUCAAAUUUAAUUACAUGCCUUUUUCACCUAACUGACUCUAGAUUUGUUGGGAAGGAUGAUAGAAGGAAGGAGAUCUAGAAAUUUACCUUCGCGAUCUAUUAAAAGAAUGCAAAUGUGAUGUAUGGCAGAGAGAAGCAUGGGAGAAUUUGAAAAGAGCAUUCCCGGAUAGCAAGAAUGGAAGCAGAGUUAUUAUACCACGCACAAAGAGGAUGUCGCUGAAAGAGCAGACGACAGAGGUUUUGUCCAUAAACUUCGUUUUCUAAGCCAUGAAGAAAGUUGGGAUCCCUUUUGUAGGAAACUACUUGAUGUUCGAGCAAUGACCUCAGCAAUGGAGAGGCUAGCUAUGGAUAUGGUGGACAAGUGUAGAGGCUUACCUCUUGCAAUUGUUGUACUGAGCGGACUACUUUCGCAUAAAAGGGGGCUAGAUGAAUGGCAAAAGGUGAAAGAUCACCUUUGGCAGAACAUUGAAAACAACUCGAUUGAAAUCUCCUACAUACUAUCAUUGAGCUCUAACGAUUUGUCAACUGCACUCAAGCAGUGUUUUCUGUACUUUGGCCUUUUUCCAGAAGAUCAAGAGGUCGAUGCUGAAUACAUAAUAUGGUUGUGGAUGGCCGAGGGUUUCAUACCUAAUGGAGAAGAAAGAAUGGAAGACGAAGCUUAGUUCAAGUGGCUGGAACACUUUGGGAGAAAGUUCUUCUGUGUUGGGUUCAUGAUGCAGUUCGUGAUCUUUCCAUACAAAAGGCAUUGGAGGUAAACUUCUAUGACAUUUAUAAUCCAAGAAACCAUUCCAUAUCACAACGCGCCAAGGGGAUGUCGCUGAAAGAGCAGACGAUAGAGGUUUUGUCCAUAAACUUCGUUUCCUAAGCCAAGAAGAAAGUUGGGACCUCUUUUGUAGGAAACUACUUGAUGUUCGAGCAAUGGUUCCAGCAAUGGAAAGUCUAGCUAAGGAUAUGGUGGGAAAAUGUAGAGGCUUACCUCUUGCAAUUGUUGUAUUGAGUGGACUACUUUCGCAUAGAUGGGGGCUAGACAAAUGGCAAAACGUGAAAGACUGCCUUUGGAAGGACAUUGAAGAAGACUCUAUUGAAAUCUCCUACAUACUAUCAUUAAGCUUCAACGAUUUGUCAUCUGCGCUCAAGAAGUGUUUUCUCUACUUUGGUAUUUUUCCAGAAGAUCGAGUGAUCUAUGCUGAAGACAUAAUGCGGUUGUGGAUGGCAGAGGGUUUCAUCAUACCAAGAGGAGAAGAAAGAAUAGAGGAUGUCGCUGAAGGCUUCUUGAAUGAGCUGAUAAGACGAAGCUUGGUUCAAGUGGUGGAUACAUUUUGGGAAAAAGUUACUAAUAUUACAAUCGAACUACACGAAACAAUAGUUAUCAACAAAAAGAUUUUCUUCAUGCCAAAAACACACUGAAUUGUAUUGGCAAUCUAUUAUUUGGUUAACACUUGAUUCUGUCCUGAUCAUUAUGAUUAAUCAUCAAUUUAGGUUAUUGAUAAAUCUUUUUUUCUUUAUUGUUUACUAUUCUCAUAUUAAAUAGUGUGUUACAAUUUUGGUGAAUAGGAGAAGCAGCAGCUGUCAGGUGUGGAACUUUUGCCAAGCAGUUCAAGAAAUUUACAUGGAGCAAGUCGGAUUUUAGAAAUAAUAAGCAUGUUUCUUUUUGUUUUGGCUUUAGGUCAUGUGUUUAAAUUACAACGGUGACAUUCAAGAUUUUUUUAAAGAAAAAUCUCCUUGUAUAAAUUUCUUGUUCCGCCACUGCCCACGUUUUGUUUCUUGUCAUAACUAAGUAUUAAAUAAGUAUGAGAUUUUAAGUUCGAGUUGCACCAAGGAAACUCUAGAUUUGUUGGAAAAGAUGACAGAGAGAGUUCUAGAAAUUUACCUUCGUGAUCUUUUAAAAGAACCCAAAUACCUUGUGGUGGUCGAUGAUUUAUGGCAUAGAGAAGCAUGGGAAAGUUUGAAACGAGCAUUUCCAGAUAGCAAGAACGGCAGCAGAAGUAUUAUUACCACACGCAAAGAGGAUGUCGCUGAGCAGAUAACAAAGGUUUUGUCUAUAGACUUCGUUCCCUGAGCCAAGAAGAAAGUUGGGAUCUCUUUUGUAGGAAACAACUUGAUGUUCGGGCAAUGGUCUCAGCAAUGGAAAGGCUAGCAAAGGAAAUGGUGGACAAGUGUGGAGGUUUACCUCUUGCAGUUGUUGUACUAAGCGGACUACUUUCACAUAAAAGGGGGUUCGAAGAAUGGCAAAAGGUGAAGGACCACCUUUGGCAAAACAUUAAAGACGACUCUAGUGAAGUCUCCUGCAUACUAUCAUUGAGCUACAACAAUUUGUCAACUGCGCUCAAGCAGUGUUUCCUGUACUUUGGUAUUUUUCCAGAAGAUCACGUGGUCCAUGUUAAUCACAUAUUAUGGUUGUGAUUGGCUGAAGGAUUCGUACCAACAGGUAAAGAAAUAAUGGAAGAUGUUGCUAAAGGCUUCUUGAAUGAGCUGAUAAGACGAAGCUUGAUACAAGCGGCAAGAACAUUUUGGGAAAAAGUUAGUAAAUGUAGGAUUCAUGAUCUACUUCGCGAUCUUGCUGUAAAAAAAGCAUUGGAGGUAAACUUACAAUAAUAUUAAUUGUGUGUUUUGAAAUUCAUGCUUACAAUAUAUUUUUUUUGAAAAAAUAAAAAGUGAAUAAUAUUAUAUUUUUAUCCAAAAAAAAUAAUACUAAAUACCUAAAAAGCUUCUUCCAUUCUAGUUGAUAUGUCAUGUCAUUAAAUCAUCCUUUAAAAAAUAAUAGACCUAUUUAAUUCAUCAAACUUAUGUCUCUACAAAACAAAUAUAUAAAUUACAUGAGAAUUUAUGAAGAUUAUAAAAAAAAAUCUAAUUCCUUUAUAUAUUUUUACCAAACAAAAUUCAAUGAAAAAACCUCUGUGCGCAAUUAUUACCUGGUAAUUUUAAAAAUUUCACAGUAAAUUAUUUGAACAUUUUAAGCAAGUUUUUCAUAAAAGUAUUCAAAUAAAUUUGUAAGGUUGACAAAAAAAAGUUGGUAAGAAAGAGAAAAUUAUUAUUUCAACUUUUUUUAAUUUAAUUUUUAUUUUUAUUCUUUUAUUCUAUAUUAUAUUAUAUUAUAUUUUAACUUCUCAUUACAAUUUAAAACACCAAUAUAUUUUCUUAUCUCAUCCUAAAUUCAUGAAAUACAAGUAAUAAUUAAUUGAAUUGCCUAUACAUAUUAUAUGAGAUUAAUAUACUGAUAAAUAAAGAUCAAAAUUUUAUUGUCUAAUAUAAAUAUUAUUCACUUUCUAUUUUUUAUUUUUUUUUAAAAAGACAUUGUAAGUAUAUAUGGAUUUCAAAGCACCUAAUUAAUGUUUUUUAAUUGUUAAUUAACCUUUAAUAUUAUUGAUCCAUUAUCUAAUAUAUGAUUAAUUGAUGUAAGUUGACAUUCAUAAGUGAUUUAUAUAUCAAUAUUUUUUCCAUAUAUGUGUUUAUAAUUAUUCAAAAUUGAUGACAUUAUGGUAAGUGUCAAAAAACUAUUCUUCAUAGCAUAAAAAAAUAAAAAAAAAUAAUUAUGAUAAAAAAUUCUUAAGAAUGAAGAUUUCUUCUUAAUAAACUAAUAUAUAUUUUUUUUUAAAUAAUAAGAUCAUUAUAUUAGUUAAAUGGUUUAAUGAAUUAAAUUAGCCUAUUACUAAAAAAAAAAACUUUCAUGACAUGUCAUGCCAAUUAGGAAAUAGUGGGGCUUUUGAAGUGUCAAGAAAAUUAGUAAGAAUUGAGUGAUUUUUUUAUUCUAAAUGAAUGAUAUUUCAAAGAAAAUUUUCUAAACUUGGUCAUGUUUCGUUUUUUUCUAAACAUUAAUCACAUAAGUGAUAAGUGGACCCUUUGAACACAUUAUUUGAGGUCUUACUUUUAUGUCUAUUGCUUUGAUCUCUAUCUCCCAUUUUCCACCUUGUAUUUUCAAUAUAUAUCUCCAUCUCCUAUUUUCGAAUAAUUAUUCCAAUAUACAGCCCCCUCUUAUUUUCAAUCAAAAGUAGUAUUCUUGAAGAUGGCUGAUGCCGUUGUUUCAUUUGCUGUUCAAAAAUUGGGUGAUUUCCUAAUACAACAAGUUUCACUGCGAACAAAUCUCAGAGAUGAAAUUGGAUGGCUGAAAACUGAGCUACUCAUCAUACAGUCAUUCCUCAAAGAUGCAGAACAAAAGAAAAGUGGAGAUCAUAGAAUUCAACAAUGGGUGUUUGAGAUCAACUCUAUUGCUAAUGACGCUGUUGCUAUACUCGAGACUUACAGUUUCGAGGCUGGUAAAGGUGCUAGUCGUCUCAAGGCUUGCGCUUGCAUAUGUAGGAAGGAGAAGAAAUUCUACAAUGUCGCAGAGGAGAUCCAAUCACUCAAGCAGCGAAUCAUGGAUAUCUCUCGCAAACGAGAGACUUAUGGUAUUACAAAUAUCAAUAGUAAUGCUGGAGAAGGGUCAAGUAAUCAGGUUACAACAUUGAGGAGAACUACCUCAUAUAUAGAUGAUGAUGACAUUUUUGUUGGCUUUCAGGAUGUUGUACAAACAUUGCUAGCUCAACUUCUCAAAGCAGAGCCUCGUAGAAGCGUCAUCUCCAUUCNNNNNNNNNNNNNNNNNNNNNNNNNNNNNNNNNNNNNNNNNNNNNNNNNNNNNNNNNNNNNNNNNNNNNNNNNNNNNNNNNNNNNNNNNNNNNNNNNNNNNNNNNNNNNNNNNNNNNNNNNNNNNNNNNNNNNNNNNNNNNNNNNNNNNNNNNNNNNNNNNNNNNNNNNNNNNNNNNACUAUCAUAAAAUCCAUCCAAGGUUGCACCAAGGAAACUCUAGAUUUGUUGGAAAGGAUGACAGAAGGAGAUCUAGAAAUUUAUCUUCGUGAUCUACUAAAAGAACGCAAAUACCUUGUGGUGGUUGAUGAUGUGUGGAAGAGAGAAGCAUGGAAGGGUUUGAAAAGAGCAUUCCCGGACAGCAAGAAUGGCAGCAGAGUUAUUAUCACCACGCGCCAAGGGGAUGUCGCUGAAAGAGCAGACGAUAGAGGUUUUGUCCAUAAACUUCGCUUCCUAAGCCAAGAAGAAAGUUGGGACCUCUUUUGUAGGAAACUAGUUGAUGUUCGAGCAAUGGUUCCAGCAAUGGAAAGUCUAGCUAAGGAUAUGGUGGAAAAAUGUAGAGGCUUACCUCUUGCAAUUGUUGUAUUGAGUGGACUACUUUCGCAUAGAUGGGGGCUAGACAAAUGGCAAAACGUGAAAGACUGCCUUUGGAAGGACAUUGAAGAAGACUCUAUUGAAAUCUCCUACAUACUAUCAUUAAGCUUCAACGAUUUGUCAGCUGCGCUCAAGAAGUGUUUUCUCUACUUUGGUGUUUUUCCAGAAGAUCGAGUGAUCGAUGCUGACGACAUAAUGUGGUUGUGGAUGGCAGAGGGUUUCAUCAUACCAAGAGGAGAAGAAAGAAUGGAGGAUGUCGCUGAAGGCUUCUUGAAUGAGCUGAUAAGACGAAGCUUGGUUCAAGUGGUGGAUACAUUUUGGGAAAAAGUUACUAAAUGUAAGGUUCAUGAUUUACUUCGUGAUCUUGCGAUACAAAAGGCAUUGGAGGUAAACUUCUUUGACAUUUAUGAUCCAAGAAAGAACUUGAAAUCCACUUCAUGUAUCAGACAAGCCAUUCAUAGUGAAGGAAAAAGGUACCUCUCAUCACUUCAUCGUUCUAACUCGAAGUUGAGGUUAAUUAUGUACUUUGAUCCACAUUAUUUUAAUGUGUUCCUACUUAUAGAUGUGUUCCGACAUAUAUAUGUGUUGUACUUGGAUAUUGAUUAUGGUGAAGUUAUACCUGAUGUCAUAGGGAGUUUGAACAACCUCAAGUUGUUAAGCUUGAGAGGUGUCCGUAAUAUUCCCUCCUCCAUCGGCAAACUCAAGAAUUUACAGACACUUGUUGUUGUCAAUAUGGACAAAUUCUUUUGCCAUUUACCCCCCGAAACAGCUGACCUAAUAAAUUUAAGACAUUUAGUUGUUCCAUAUUCUAUACCUCUGGCAGGUAUAAGCAAACUCACUAGUCUUCAAGUUCUUCGCGUUGAUUGUGAUCAGUGGAAAGAUGUUGACCCAGUUGAUUUAGUCAAUCUUCGAGAAUUAGAGAUGACUAAUAUAUACAAAUCUUACUCCCUAAACAACAUUAGCAGCUUGAAAAACCUUAACACGCUCAUAUUGUGUAUUUUGCUUGGUCAACAAUAUACAUAUCCAUUCCCAUCCCUUGAAUUUGUUAAUAGUUGUGAAAAGCUCCAGAAAUUGGCGUUAGGUGGGAGAUUAGAGAAACUGCCUGUGUUUCCAGAUUCCAUCACAACGAUAAGUCUUUGGGAGUCAAGAAUGACAAAAGAUCCGAUGCCUAUUUUGGGAAUGUUGCCAAACCUAAGGAAUCUCGGAUUAGAUGCAGCUUAUGAAGGAGAAGAAAUAAUGUGCAGUGAUUACAGCUUCAGUCAACUAGAGUUCCUUCAUCUUUAUUUUCUUGACAACUUAGAAAGAUGGCAUUUAGGCACAAAUGCCAUGCCUCUCAUUAAAGAUCUUGGUAUCAAUCAUUGUCCAAACCUGAAGGAGAUUCCUGAGAGAAUGAAAGACGUGAAGCAUUUCAAACAUAAAUGAAGUCUUAUAUGAUAAUAGGAAAGGUAAAUAUACAAACACAUCCCAAUACUUCAUUUUUUUUUCUUUUUUAUAUAAAUAAUAAUAUUUUUGUUAAACAAGAGAUGAAGACAUUCAAGUUGAUGAAGAUGGGUUGUCCAAGCAUCAAUCAAGUUUCCGUCACUUUACUGAUUUUGUGAUUCUAUGCAAAAAUGAGGAUUUUUUUGGUUUUUGGCUUCUUUUUUAGUGUGUGGAAUUGGUUGGAAGAGAUUUUUUUUUGGGGGAAGUGGGGGUGGGGGGGGGGAGGUGGGGAUUGUAUGCAAAAAUGAUUUUGUGAUUAUUUAAUUAAUAUGCAUCUAGUAUACAAUAAUAUACAUCUGGUACAAUAAUAUACAAAACUUUUAUAUUUCUUUUUUACAAAAUAUUGUAAAACUUGAUAUACAAUGUUUAUACACGAUAUUAUACGAAAUCAUAAGAGGUAUAUAUAUAUAUAAAAGAGAACCCUAUGCCCGCCUACGUGGCAUCAUCACAAAUUAAUAUUCCCUAUAUUUGUUCACACUACCCUUUGUUGUCUAUAAAUAGAGGGAUUUCCUCUCAUUUUAAAACAACGAAAAUUUUGAACUUCUUCUUCUUCUGCACAAUUAAAUAUUAUUUUUGUAUCAAUACACUGGUGAAUAGAAUCAUUUUAUCCUGAGAAGAUCUAUUCCUUUAAACCUUGGGUAUUAGAGGGGAAUAAUUUUCUUAUAGGAACACUAUGCAUUUAAUGGGCUCAAUUUUUUCCAGUCUGUUUCAUUUUAUUGUUACAGAUCCUAUUAUGUUUGUUUUAAACUUUGUUGUUUAUGUUACUGCAAAGUUAUUGUCAGUACAAAAUUAAAUAACACACGUUAAUUGAGUAUUCAUGCAAGUUUUCUCUACUGAAAUUUUAGUUUCAAAUUGAACUUCAUCACUCUGGUAUGUUGAUUUUAAAAAAAACACCCAAAUAAACUGAAUAGUUUUAUGUAAUACUUUCCCUUUCAAGUAUAUAUAAUAAGUUGAAUUAUUGUCCCACAUGAUACAUUCUCCCUUUAAUUUUUCAUUUUAAUAAUUACUUAUGAUAUAUUUAAAUAGGGAACUUUAAAAUGAUAUAUAUAAAGCAAAUGGUAGGGUUGAACUUUCUACACGUUAGAAUUAGAAUAUUUAUUCACUUUUUCAGUCUUUUAAAAUUUAUUUAUCCCUCCACCAACAAUUAUUUAUUUAUUAGAAAAUUUAAUAUUUCCGGUUGAUGUUCAUUUGAUUCCCCAAAAAUAUCAAAUAGUAACACUUCUUGGAAGCAAAAGGAUAAAUUAUAAAAUCAAAUUAAAGAUGAUUGAUUGAAGGAUAAGUGAUAAGAUGUUAUAAUUAUCAUCUUCCUUUACAUUAUUAAUAUUUGUUACUACGUAAUAAUGUAUAUAAGAUAAUAUAAUGUUUUAAUUUUAGUGACGGAUAUGUUUUAAAUAUUAUUUUAUAAAUCCCAUGAUAUGAAAUUCCCGCGCGAGGCGCGGGUGAUUUAACUAGUAAUUUAUAAUUUUAUACCCUAUUAUACAAAACAAAAUUUUGUCAAACUUAGCAACUUGAUUUCUCUCAAACGGCAAGAUUGAAUCUUUUGAAAAUUUGUGGAGAAGUAUAGUGAUGGUCUAUCAUCCCCAAUAGGGGAGAUGUCAUGAAUCACAAUAGACAUCGUUGUAAUAUAAUGUACACACAAAAAUAUUUAAGUUAAAUAAGAUGUAAAUUUUAUUUUUAAGAAUGAAUAUCUAAAACUUGCAAAGAAAAUAAAAAAAAAUAAGGUGGAGACAAACAACUUAUUCUUAAAAAUUAGGCAUAAUACAUAUAUUUCAUCCUAAACUUGGCUUCAAGUUUUAACUUUGACCUCCGACUUUCAUAGUGCACAAACAGGCACUUUAACUAUCCAACUUUUUAAUAAAUAAACACGCGAGUCAUACUUGACAAAAUGCGUGAUGUGCACGUAUUCUGCAUGAGUUAGGAGAAAUGACAACUCUACCACCCGGAUUCCGGCCAAUCUCUGGCAACCCAAAUCCCCCAUUCAUUUUCUUCUUUUUCAAGCAAAACGCCACCACCAAAUGACCCCCAAAUAAGUGAACAAACACAUCCAUUACUCCUCCCUUUUCCGGCCAUCAAACACCACUUGAAACCACCCAAAACCUCCAUUCAUUAAGUAAUGCAUAUUAUUUUGAAGGCAUAAUACAUAUAUUGGAACCUGAACUUGACUUCAAAUUUUAACUUUGACCUCCAACUUUCAUAGUGCACAAACAGGCACUUUAAUUAUCCAACUUUUAAAUAAAUAAACACGCAAUUUUUACAACCAAAGAGCGUGAAAUGCAAACGCUCCAACGUGUAUUAGUGAGCCACUCAAUGGCUGCCAACUAAUUAAAUAUUUUACACGUCAUUUUAGAACUAAAAAAAUCAAAAUUAAUUUUAAUUUAUAUACAAGAAUCAAAAUUAAUUCCUCCUAAUGGUUUUUAGAGCUUGGAGCUCAUUGUUUGACGGAGCUUAGAAGUUUGUUGAUGGCUGGCAUCUUGGUUUAGGUGUUUGUGGUUGUUGGGUCUGUUGGUUGCAGCAGUGUUGUUUCGUGAUGAUUCUCGCCGAAGAUGGCAGAUCUGAUGGGUUUGGGGUCGGGUAUUUGGUGGGUUUAGCUAGCUCGAAGCUCGAUCGUUACAUGGGUUGUGCUCCGGUGUGGAGGAAAAAGGAGACCGGCUGGGUUGGAGGUACUUGUUUGGGGUCAUUUGGUGGUGGCGUUUAGCCUGAAAAAGAAGAAAAUGAACGGGGGUUUUGGGUUGCCAGAGAUUGGCUGGAAUCCGGGGGUAGAGUUGUCAUUUCAGCAUUUUUUUUUACUGUUGUGGGACUCAAAAAUUACUCCUAACUCACGCAGAAUACGUGUACAUCACGCGUUUUGCCAAGUAAGAUUCGCGUGUUUAUUUAUUAAAAGGUUGGAUAGUUAAAGUGCUUGUUUGUGUACUAUGAAAGUUGGAGGUCAAAAUUAAAAUUUAAAUCCAAGUUUAGGGUCCAAUAUAUGUAUUAUGCCUAUUUUGAAUAUGACAAAUCAAAGAAGCAAUAAAAAUUUAUCUGACAUAACUAAUUCCAGCUUAACUUGUUUUCAAACCAACUGACAGUGUAUGUGGUAUGAAGGAAAAUGUUUUCCAAAUCAACUUGUUUUCCUCAAAUUUAAGGAAAAUGACUUACCUCCAGAAAAUGUUUUUCAGAACUCUUUUUCAACCUCACACCUUAACUUUUCACCCUAACUCAAGUCUCGAGUUAUUCUCGAUACAAAUUCGGGAUCUGACUCCUGAUUCUUGAUUCGAGACCCGACUCUCGACCUCGAUUCGAGACCCGACUCAGGAGAUAGAUCUAAAUCAAAUUCUAAUUUGGGUGUCGAGUCCCAGGUCAGGAUUUGAGGUCGAAUCUUGGAUUGGAUGUCGAGGUUUAUUCCCGAGUCAGGUGUCGAUGUGGGGUUCCAAAUUGAGUGUCAGAGUCAGGUUUUGAGUCAAGAGUCAAGAUCUAGUCCCAGGUCAGUUGACGGAUUUGAGUCAUGGAUCAGUUAUCGAAGUAGGGUAUCGUGGUUGAAUUCCGAUUUGAAAGUCAAGUCCUUGAUAGGGAGUUGGGAUCAAAUCUCAAUUUGGAAGUUGGGUCAAGCGUCGGGGUCAGGUUUCACAUCGAGUGUUGAGGUCGAAUCUUAGUUUGGAUCUCGCGUUAGGUGUCGAGAUCGAGACCCGAAACAAUCAUCGAGUUAAAGAUUAGGGUCAAGGUCAAUGUCGAGUCCUAGGUUGGGAGUCAAGGUCAGGUCCUGGAUCAGUUAUCAGAGUUCAUUUUCAGAUCAAAAACUAUUUUCCUAAAAUGUAUUUCUUUAUCUCUAGCCAAAAUAAAAGUUUUUGUUUUUCUGAAAAAUGUUUUUCAUUCACCAACCAAACACUCGAAAUAAAAUUUCACUCAUCAACCAAACAUGAGAAAAUAAGUUAGAAACCAACUUAUUUUCUAAGAAAACAAUUUCCUCCAUACCAAACACACCCUUAAGUCUCAAUCCCAAAGAAUAUUGAGGGUUGACAAACGGUUAUAUGAAUCAUCAUUAUCAAUAUUGUUCUAUUAUUAAUUAAACAGAUGAUGGUGAAAGAUACACCUAAAGUAUCCUAAUUAUCGAGUCUCAUAUUCGAACAAUCAUGUCACGCCCCGAGCCUACACCCUGGGCUGGACCGGCACUCGGAGAUCAUCCCUGGCCCCAAGCGAACCCUUGGCCUGGCUUUCUUAACUCAGCGGAAACCUAACUCAACAGAAUAACUUAAUGUCAUGCAAAGACAUAAAACAACUUAACUGAUGAAAUCUGGCCCAAAAAGGCAACUCGAGUCUCAAAAUAUAAUAUUUACAUAUAUACAUAGAUGAGAGACUCAAUACUAACUGACUGACUGUCUGUCUAUGAAGCCUCUAAUAUACUGAGAUGGAUGUUGGGACAGACCCCNNNNNNNNNNNNNNNNNNNNNNNNNNNNNNNNNNNNNNNNNNNNNNNNNNNNNNNNNNNNNNNNNNNNNNNNNNNNNNNNNNNNNNNNNNNNNNNNNNNNNNNNNNNNNNNNNNNNNNNNNNNNNNNNNNNNNNNNNNNNNNNNNNNNNNNNNNNNNNNNNNNNNNNNNNNNNNNNNNNNNNNNNNNNNNNNNNNNNNNNNNNNNNNNNNNNNNNNNNNNNNNNNNNNNNNNNNNNNNNNNNNNNNNNNNNNNNNNNNNNNNNNNNNNNNNNNNNNNNNNNNNNNNNNNNNNNNNNNNNNNNNNNNNNNNNNNNNNNNNNNNNNNNNNNNNNNNNNNNNNNNNNNNNNNNNNNNNNNNNNNNNNNNNNNNNNNNNNNNNNNNNNNNNNNNNNNNNNNNNNNNNNNNNNNNNNNNNNNNNNNNNNNNNNNNNNNNNNNNNNNNNNNNNNNNNNNNNNNNNNNNNNNNNNNNNNNNNNNNNNNNNNNNNNNNNNNNNNNNNNNNNNNNNNNNNNNNNNNNNNNNNNNNNNNNNNNNNNNNNNNNNNNNNNNNNNNNNNNNNNNNNNNNNNNNNNNNNNNNNNNNNNNNNNNNNNNNNNNNNNNNNNNNNNNNNNNNNNNNNNNNNNNNNNNNNNNNNNNNNNNNNNNNNNNNNNNNNNNNNNNNNNNNNNNNNNNNNNNNNNNNNNNNNNNNNNNNNNNNNNNNNNNNNNNNNNNNNNNNNNNNNNNNNNNNNNNNNNNNNNNNNNNNNNNNNNNNNNNNNNNNNNNNNNNNNNNNNNNNNNNNNNNNNNNNNNNNNNNNNNNNNNNNNNNNNNNNNNNNNNNNNNNNNNNNNNNNNNNNNNNNNNNNNNNNNNNNNNNNNNNNNNNNNNNNNNNNNNNNNNNNNNNNNNNNNNNNNNNNNNNNNNUAUAUAUAUAUAUAUAUAUAAAAGAGAACCAUAUGCCCGCCUACGUGGCGUCAUCACAAACCAAGAUUCCCUAUGUUUGUUCACACUACCCUUUGUUGUCUAUAAAUAGAGGGAUUUCCUCUCAUUUUUAAAACAACGAAAAUUUUUGAACUUCUUCUUCUUCUGCACAAUUAAAUAUUAUUUUUGUAUCAAUACACUGGUGAAUACAAUCAUUAUAUCCUGAGAGGAUCUAUUCCUUUAAACCUCGGGUACUAGAGGGGAAUAAUUUUCUUAAAGGAACACUAUGCAUUUAAUGGGCUCAAUUUUUUCCAGUCUGUUUCAUUCUAUUGUUACAGAUCCUGGUAUGCUUGUUUUAAACUUUGUUGUUUAUGUUACUGCAAAGUUAUUGUUAGUACAAAUUAAAUAACACACGUUAAUUGAGUAUUCACACAAGUUUUCUCUACUGAAAUUUUAGUUUCAAAUUGAACUUCAUCACUCUAGUAUGUUGAUUUUUAAAAAAACACCCAAAUAAACUGAAUAGCUUUAUGUAAUAAUUUCCCUUUCAAGUAUAUAUAAUAAGUUGAAUUAUUGUCCCAUAUGAUACCUUCUCCCUUUAAUUUUUCAUUUUAAUAAUUACUUAUGAUAUAUUUAAAUAGGGAACUUUAAAAUGAUAUAUGUAAAGCAAAAUUGGUAGGGUUGAACUUUCUACACGUUAGAAUUAGAAUAUUUAUUCACUUUUUCAGUCUUUCAAAAUCUAUUUAUCCCUUCACCAACGAUUAUUUAUUUAUUAGAAAAUUUUAAUAUCUCUGGUUGAUGUUCAUUUGAUUCCCCAAAAAUAUCAAAUAGUAACACUUCUUGGAAGCAAAAGGAUAAAUCAUAAAAUCAAAUUAAAAAUGAUUGAUUGAAGGAUAAGUGAUAAGAUGUUAUAAUUAUCAUCUUCGUUUACAUUAUUAAUAUUUGUUACUACGUAAUAUUGUAUAUAAGAUAAUAUAAUAUUUUAAUUUUAGUGACGGAUAUGUUUUAAGUAUUAUUUUAUAAAUCCCAUGAUAAUAAAUUCCCGCGCGAGGCGCAGGUGAUUUAACUAGUAAUGUAUAAUUUUAUACCCUAUUAUACAAAACAAAAUUUUGUCAAACUUUGCAACUUGAUUUCUCUCAAACGGCAAGAUUGAAUCUUCUGAAAAUUUGUGGAGAAGUAUAGUGAUGGUCUAUCAUCCCCAAUAGGGGAGAUGUCAUGAAUCACAAUAGACAUCGUUGCAAUAUAAUAUACACACAAAAAUAUUUAAGUUAAAUAAGAUGUAAAUUUUAUUCUUAAGAAUGAAUAACUAAAACUUGCAAAGAAAAUAUAUAAAAAAAAAAAGGUGGAGACAAACAACUUAUUCUUAAAAAUUAGGCAUAACACAUAUAUUUGACCCUAUACUUGGCUUCAAAUUUUAACUUUGACCUCCAACUUUCAUAGUGCACAAACAUGCACUUUAACUAUCCAACCUUUUAAUAAAUAAACACGCGAGUCAUACUUGGCAAAACGCGUGAUAUGUACGUAUUCUGCAUGAGUUAGGAGAAAUGACAACUCUACCACGCAACGAAUCAAUCUCUUCAGGGUUUCCAUUUACAAUGCCUGGGGUUCUAAAAUGCAAGAAUAGUGUAUCCCAUUUUCUUCAUUCACUAAGACGCGUAAACAAGUAUCAAACUCAGACGAACAUAAAUGUAGCGAUAUGGAUUAGAUUACAACACGACAUUACAAAUGUAUUUUUGACAAAUCCAAAUACAGGAAAAAGAAGAAAUGACACAAUCAAUGGAUCAACAACUCUAGUUUCUCACAUUGGCAUAAUACAUAUAUUGGACCCUAAACUUGGCUUCAAAUUUUAACUUUGACCUCCAACUUUCAUAGUGCACAAACAGGCACUUUAAUUAUCCAACUUUUAAAUAAAUAAACAAGCAAUUUUUACAGCCAAAGAGCGUGAAAUGCAAACGCUCCAACGUGUAUUAGUGAGCCACUCAAUGACUGCCAACUAAUUAAAUAUUUUACACGUCAUUUUAGAACUAAAAAAAAUCAAAAUUAAUUUUAUUUUAUAUACAAGAAUCAAAAUUAAUUCCUCCUAAUGGUUUUUAGAGCUUGGGGCUCAUUGUUUGACGGAGCUUAGAAGUUUGUUUAUGGCUGGCUUCUUGGUUUAGGUGUUUGUGGUUGUUGGGUCUGUUGGUUGCAGCAGUGUUGUUUCGUGAUGAUUCUCGCCGGAGAUGGCGGAUCUGAUGGGUUUGGGGUCGGGUAUUUGGUGGGUUUAGCGAGCUCGAUCGUUUCAUGGGUUGUGCUCCAGUGUGGAGGAAGAAAGAGACCGGCUGGGUUGGAGGUACUUAUUUGGGGUCAUUUGGUGGUGGCGUUUUGCCUGAAAAAGAAGAAAAUGAACGGGGGUUUUGGGUUGCCGGAGAUUGGCCGGAAUCUGGGGGGUAGAGUUGUCAUUUCAGCAUAUUUUUACUGUUGUGGGAAUCAAAAAUUACUCCUAACUCGCACAGAGAACGUGCACAUCACGCGUUUUGCCAAGUAAGAUUCGCGUGUUUUAUUUAUUAAAAAGGUUGGAUAGUUAAAGUGUUUGUUUGUGCACUAUGAAAGUUGGAGGUCAAAAUUAAAAUUUAAAUCCAAGUUUAGGGUCCAAUAUAUGUAUUAUGCCUAUUUUGAAUAUGACAAAUCAAAGAAGCAAUAAAAAUUUAUCUAACAUAACUAAUUCCAGCAUAACUUGUUUUCAAACCAACUGACAGUGUAUAUGGUAUGAAGGAAAAUAUUUUCCAAAUCAACUUGUUUUGUUCAAAUUUAAGGAAAAUGACUUACCUCUAGAAAAUUAGGAAAACAUUUUUCAGAACUCUUUUUCAACCUCACACCUCAACUUUUCACCCUAACUCAAGUCUCGAGUUAUUCUCGAUACAAAUUCGGGAUCUGACUCCUGAUUCUUGAUUCGGGACCUGACUCUCGACCUCGAUUCAAGACCCGACUCAGGAGAUGGAUUUAAAUCAAAUUCUGAUUUGGGUGUCGAGUCCCAGGUCAGGAUUUAAGGUCGAAUCUUGGAUUGGAUGUCGAGGUUUAUUCCCGAGUCAGGUGUCGAUAUGGGGUUCCAAAUUGAGUGUUAGAGUCAGGUUUUGAGUCAAGAGUCGAGAUCUAGUCCCAGGUCAGUUGACGGAUUUGAGUCCUGGAUCAGUUAUCGAGGUAGGGUAUCGUGGUUGAAUUCCGAUUUGAAAGUCAAGUCAUUGAUAGGGAGUUGGAUCAAAUCUCGAUUUGGAAGUUGGGUCAAGUGUCGGGGUCAGGUUUCACAUCGAGUGUUGAGGUCGAAUCUUGGUUUGGAUCUCGCGUUAGGUGUCGAGAUCGAGAUCCGAAACAAUCAUCGAGUUAAAGAUUAGGGUCAACGUCAAUGUCGAGUCCUAGGUUAGGAGUUGAGGUCAGGUCCUGGAUCAAUUAUCAAAGUUGAUUUUCAGAUCAAAAACUAUUUUCCUAAAAUGUAUUUCUUUAUCUCUAGCCAAAAUAAAAGUUUUUUUUCUGAAAAAUGUUUUUCAUUCACCAACCAAACACUCGAAAUAAAAUUCCAUUCAUCAACCAAACAUGAGAAAAUAAUUUCUAAGAAAACAAUUUCCUCCAUACCAAACACACCCUUAAGUCUCAAUCCCAAAGAAUAUUGAGGGUUGACAAAUGGUUAUAUGAAUCAUCAUUAUCAAUAUUGUUCUAUUAUUAAUUAAAUAGAUGAUGGUGAAAGAUACACCUAAAGUAUCCUAAUUAUUGAGUCUCAUAUUCGAACAAUCAAUUGAGCACUCUAACUUUCAAAAUGAUCAUCUAGGCACCUAAUUCAAAACUUAUGUGUCACGUCAACGUCAGGUGUUCAUUAGACACAAUGAUGACAAAUUGAAGUGUUUAAUUGUCAAUUAAGACCAAAUUGAGAUGUAUAGAUAUACACUCUCAAAGUUGAAGUGCUUAUUUGAUUAGAUUGAAUCAAAUCAAGAAAAAGAAACUCAAUCAAGGAUUUGGUUUGGCAUUGAAGAAAAAAAAAUCGAUAUAAUUAACUUAGUUUAUUCAUAACUUAAGAAAAAGCAUAUCAAAAUCAAACCAAAGUGAUAUUAUAUUUAUACAAAUUUUAUAAAUAUGUUAUACUUUAAAAUAUUUAUUAUAAUUCUUAAUAAAUAAUGGUUGUAGAUGCCAAAUGGUGGUAUGUAAUUAAUGGUGGACGAUGGCAGUAGGUUGGAUGAGGGAAUUGUUGAACUGCUAACAACAUAUCCAGUAAAAUCCCACUAAGUGGGAUCUGAGGAGGGUAGAGUGUACGCAUACUCUACCUCCAAUUUUCAUGAAAAUAUUUAAAUAGAUACCUUAAUAAUAUUAAUAUUUUUUUUCUUAUAGAGAUUAAUCAUUCAGAUUUAUUCAGAUACUGGAAAAAAAAAAGGGGGUGGGGGGGGGGGUUGUGAUCACUAUUCUGAUGGAAUAAUGCAAAGUCAAAUAUUGACUAUAUAGAAAUUAGAAAGAUAUCAUGUGCACUACAACCAAACCAAUUUUAAAUUUUCUGGGAAUGUGUACUAAUAAUUCUUUUACUAAUUAAUCAAAGAGAAGAAAAGUAAACUAAAUUAUACUUAACUCUAGAGUCAAACUUCUUCUGGCAGCAAUUAACAGCCAACUUUGAUUUGAAUUUCUCCCAUGUCUUUUGUCCUUAUAAGUCUAUGUAUUGCCGUAAAAAAUCCAAACGCCUAAAGAUGGUUGAUGCCUCUGUGUCAUUCGCAGUAAAAAAAUUGGGGGAUUUUCUCAUACAGGAAGCUUCCCUGCGUACAAGUCUCAGACAGGAUGUGCGGUGGAUGCGAAAUGAGCUGUUCUUCAUGCAGUCUUUCCUCAAAGAUGCAGAACAAAAACAAGUUGUAGAUCAAAGAGUUCAACAAUGGGUGUUUGAAAUCAACUCGAUUGCUAAUGACGCUGUUGCUAUACUCAAGGCUUAUAGCUUCGAGGAUAGUAAAGGUGACGACGCUAGAUUUGCUAGUCGUCUGAAGGCUUAAACUUGCAUCUGCAGGAAGGAGACAAAGUUCUAUAACGUCACCAAGGAGAUCCAAUCACUAAAGCAUCGAAUCAUGGAUAUCUCUCACAAACGAGAGACUUAUGGUAUUAGAGAUAUGAAUAAUGCAGGAGAAAGGCCAAGUAAUCGCCCAAACAAUCAGUAUGACAUGGUUAGAACAUUGAGGAGAACUACCUCAUAUGUAGAUGAGGAUCACAUUUUUGUUGGCUUUCAGGAUGUUGUACAAACAUUGCUAACUGAACUUCUCAAACCAGAGCCUCACAGAAGAGUCAUCUCCAUUUAUGGUAUGGGAGGAUUAGGCAAGACAACUCUUGCGAGAAACCUAUACAUCAGUCCUAAUAUUGCCUCUAGCUUCCCUACACGUGCUUGGAUAUGUGUUUCUCAAGAGUACAACACCAUGGAUCUCCUUUGGAAUAUCAUAAAAUCCAUCCAAGGUUGCACCAAGGAAACUCUAGAUUUGUUGGAAAAGAUGACAGAGAGAGAUCUAGAAAUUUACCUUCGUGAUCUUUUAAAAGAACCCAAAUACCAUGUGGUGGUCGAUGAUUUAUGGCAUAGAGAAGCAUGGGAAAGUUUUGAAAUGAGCAUUUCCAGAUAGCAAGAACGGCAGCAGAGUUAUUAUUACCACACGCAAAGAGGAUGUCGCUGAAAGAGCAGAUAACAAAGGUUUUGUCUAUAGACUUCGUUUCCUGAGCCAAGAAGAAAGUUGGGAUCUCUUUUGUAGGAAACUACUAGAUGUUCAGGCAAAGGUCUCAGCAAUGGAAAGGCUAGCAAAGGAAAUGGUGGACAAGUGUGGAGGUUUACCUCUUGCAGUUGUUGUAUUAAGCGGACUACUUUCACAUAAAAGGGGNNNNNNNNNNNNNNNNNNNNNNNNNNNNNNNNNNNNNNNNNNNNNNNNNNNNNNNNNNNNNNNNNNNNNNNNNNNNNNNNNNNNNNNNNNNNNNNNNNNNNNNNNNNNNNNNNNACUAUCAUUAAGCUACAAUGAUUUGUCAACUGCGCUCAAGCAGUGUUUCCUGUACUUUGGUAUUAUUCCAGAAGAUCAUGAGGUCCAUGUUGAUCACAUAUUAUGGUUGUGGAUGGCUGAAGGAUAUGUACCAACAGGAAAAGAAAUAAUGGAGGAUGUUGCUGAAGGCUUCUUGAAUGAGUUGAUAAGAAGAAGCUUGAUACAAGUGGUACGCACAUUUUGGGAUAAAGUUGGUAAAUGUAGGAUUCAUGAUCUGCUUCGCGAUCUUGCCGUACAAAAAGCAUUGGAGGUAAACUUUUUUGACAUUUAUGAUCCAAGAAAGCAUUCCAUAUCCUCCUUGUGUCUUAGACAUGCCAUUCGUAGUCAAGGAAAAAGAUAUUUAUCACUCGAUCUUUCUAACUUGAAUGUUAGGUCACUUAUGUUCCUUGAUACGGAUUUUUUAAAGAUGGGUCUUAUAAAGUUCCAUAAUGUGUUCCAACAUCUAUAUGUGUUGUACUUGGAGAUGCGUGUUGACAAUAUGUCUAUAGUACCUGAUGCCAUAGGAAGUUUGUACCACCUCAAGUUCUUAAGAUUUAGAGGUAUCCAUGAUCUUCCCUCUUCCAUUGGCAACCUCAAGAAUUUACAGACACUUCUUGUCAAUGACUAUGGAUACUUUUGCCAACUACCCCGCGAGACAGCUGACCUGAUAAAUCUAAGGCAUUUAGUUGCUUCGUAUUCAAAACCUCUGAAACGUAUAAGCAAACUCACUAGUCUUCAAGUUCUUAAAGGCAUCCAUUGUGAUCAGUGGAAAGAUGUUGACCCUGUUGAUUUAGUCAAUCUUCGAGAAUUAAGCAUGCAUGAGAUUACCAAAACUUACUCACUAAACAACAUUAGCAGCUUGAAAAACCUUAGCACUCUAAAAUUGUGUUGUGUAGCUUAUGAAUCAUUCCCAAACCUUGAAUAUCUUAGUUCUUGUCAGAACCUGGGUUAGAGGGGCAAAUAGAAAAACUGCCUCUCUCAGAGCAGUUUCCGAAUUCCAUUGCCAUGAUGGUCCUUCGGUACUCAGAACUCAUGGAAGAUCCCAUGUCUACUCUAGGGAUGCUGCCAAAUCUAAGGAAUCUCGAUUUGUUUAGAGCUUACGGAGGAAAAGAAAUUACCUGCAGUGAUAACAGCUUCAGCCAACUGGAGAUCCUUCGUCUUGAUUGUCUUGAGAACUUAGAAAGAUGGCAUUUAGCCACAAGUGCCAUGCCUCUGAUUAAAGGUCUUGGUAUCCAGCGUUGUCAAAAGCUACAUGAGAUUCCCGAUAGAAUGAAAAACGUGGAGAGAACUCCUUUUCAAUGAAGCUUUUCAAGCAUAUAUGAUGUCCUAUUUCAGCUCUUUCAUAAUCGUAAAGGUAAUAAAUCCCAAUCCCCAAUGAACAUUUCUUUAAUUCCUUUUAAUUACUCACUUUGCCGCAGAUUUGUUAGUAUAAUGUUUAAUUUUUAUACUAUGACAGUACAUUUUUUAAUACACUAUCAACAUACUAAAAGAAGUCAACUAUAAAUAAUUGUCUAUAGGUAAAUCACUUAUGCAUGAGAUUUUGUCUUGUAUCACAACAACCACAUACCCAGUACUGUAUUCCCACAGAAUGAGGUUUGGGGAGGGUAGAGUGUACGCAAACCUUACAUCCACCUCAAAGGUGAGGUAGAGAGACUAUUUCCGAUAAACUCUCGGCUCAAGACAAAAAAGACUAGAAAAAGACAUAAUGGAAGUAGAAGAGACAAUAGGUAGUAACAAAACAACAUAUGAAAGCAGAACAGUACUACAACCAAAUUAUAUUACAAUCGAACUACACAAAACAAUAGAUAUCAACAAAAUGAUUUUCUUCAUUCCAAAAACACACUGAAUUGUAUUGGCAAUCUAUUAUUUGGUUAACACUUGAUAUUGUCCUGAUCAUUAUGAUUAAUCAUCAAUUUAGGUUAUUGAUAAAUCUUUUGUUCUUUAUUGAAUACUAUUCCUCAUAUUAAAUAGUGUCUUACAAUUUUGUGAAUAGGAGAAGCAGCAGCUGGCAGGUGUGGAACUUUUGCCAAGCAUUUCAAGAGAUUUACAUGGAGCAAGUCAGAUUUUAGAAAUAAUAAGCAUGUUUCUUUUUGUUUUGGCUUUAGGUCAUGUGUUUAAAUUAUAAGUGUGACAUUCAAGAUUUUUUUUUAAAAAUCUCCUUAUAUAAAUUUCUUGUUCUGCCACUGCCCACAUUUUGUUUCUUGUCAUAAACGAAGGAGUAUUAAAUAAGUAUGAGAUUUCAAGUUCAAGAUUCUGAAAUGAACUUUUUGUAAUUAUUAUCCAAGAAUAUUAUGGUAUAAUAAAUCUUUAUAGAAUUAUAGUCCACAAACAUAUAAUAACUCAAAACAGUGAUGACUAGCAGUGAUGCUUGUGGAAGUCGAUUAAGGAUGGUGUUGACAAAUGAUGGGGUGGGAUUAGUUGCUAGUGGUGAUGGUGUUGGCAGUGGAGGUUAAUAGUUAUGUUGGAAAAUAGUGAUAAUUAAUGGUAAUGGGGACAAUGAAGAUAAUGUGGUGAUUAGUGGUUGUUGUAGACUCGUGGUAAUGAUGGUCAGUGAAGAUGAUUGUAAAUGGCAGCUAGUGAUAGGGACAAUUGAGUGUAGUGAUUGAUAGUGAUGGUGAUUGUGGCUAAUAAUGAUGGUUGAAAACGGUGGACGUCUAGAUAAAGGCGGUAGGUUGAAUGAUGGAAUGGUUGAACUACGUACUAUUUUCAUAAAAAUCUUUAAAUAAAUAUCUUAAUAGUAGAUCUUAAUCAUUCAGAUUUAUUCACACUCCCUAAGUGGUUGAAAAUACAUCUACACUGAAAAAGGCAAGAAAGAGUAAAAAAAAGGAAUGUGUCCACAAUUGACUGAUCAUUAUUCUGAUGGAAUAAUGCAAAGCCAAAAUUGACUGCAGAGAAAGAGGCUUUAAUCAAAGAGAAGAAAAGUAAACUAAAUAUACUUCUUUAUCAAAAAAGAAAGAAAACUAAAUAUACUUAACUCUGCGUCAAACUUCUUCCAGGCAGCAAUUAACAGCCAACUUUGAUUUGAAUUUCUCCCAUAUUUCUUCAUCUCUUCAUUACAGUAAAGAUCCAAACGCCUAAGAUGGUUGAUGCCUUUGUGUCAUUUGCAGUUCAAAAACUGGGGGAUUUUCUCAUACAGGAAGCUUCCCUGCAUUCAAGUCUCAGACAGGAUGUACGGUGGCUGCGAAAUGAGCUGUUCUUCGUGCAGUCUUUCCUCAAAGAUGCCGAACAAAAGCAAGUUGUAGAUCAAAGAGUUCAACAAUGGGUGUUUGAGAUCAGCUCUGUUGCUAAUGACGCCGUUGCUAUAUUGGAGACUUAUAGCUUCGAGGCUAGUAAAGGUAGUCGUCUGAAAGCUUGCACUUGCAUCUGCAGGAAGCAGACAAAAUUCUACACCGUCAGAAAGGAGAUCCAAUCACUCAAGCAUCGAAUCAUGGAUAUCUCUCGCAAACGAGAGACAUAUGAUAUUAGAGAUAUCAAUAAUGCAGGAGAAGGGCCAAGUAAUCGCCCAAACAAUCAGUCUGACAUGGUUAGAACAUUGAGGAGAACUACCUCAUAUGUGGAUGAUGACCAGGAUUACAUUUUUGUUGGCUAUCAGGAUAUUGUAGAAACAUUGCUAGCUGAACUUCUCAAACCAGAGCCUCGCCGAAGCGUCAUCUCCAUUUAUGGUAUGGGCGGAUUAGGCAAGACAACUCUUGCGAGAAACCUAUACAUCAGUCCUAAUAUUGCCUCUAGCUUCCCUACACGUGCUUGGAUAUGUGUUUCUCAAGAGUACAACACCAUGGAUCUCCUUUGGAAUAUCAUAAAAUCCAUCCAAGGUUGCACCAAGGAAACUCUAGAUUUGUUGGAAAAGAUGACAGAGAGAGAUCUAGAAAUUUACCUUCGUGAUCUUUUAAAAGAACCCAAAUACCUUGUGGUGGUCGAUGAUUUAUGGCAUAGAGAAGCAUGGGAAAGUCUAAAACGAGCAUUUCCAGACAGCAAGAAUGGCAGCAGAGUUGUUAUUACCACGCGCAAAGAAGAUGUCGCUGAAAGAGCAGAUAACAAAGGUUUUGUCUAUAAACUUCGUUUUCUGAGCCAAGAAGAAAGUUGGGAUCUCUUUUGUAGGAAACUACUAGAUGUUCAGGCAAUGGUCUCAGCAAUGGAAAGGUUAGCUAAGGAUAUGGUGGACAGGUGUGGAGGUUUACCUCUUGCAAUUGUUGUAUUAAGCGGACUACUUUCACAUAAAAGGGGUCUAGAAGAAUGGCAAAGGGUGAAGGACCACCUUUGGCAGCACAUUAAAGAUGACUCUAUUGAAAUUUCCUACAUACUAUCAUUGAGCUACAACGAUUUGCCAACUGAGCUCAAGCAGUGUUUCCUGUACUUUGGUAUUAUUCCAGAAGAUCAUGAGGUCCAUGUUGAUCACAUAUUAUGGUUGUGGAUGGCUGAAGGAUUCAUACCAACAGGAGAAGAAAUCAUGGAGGAUGUUGCUGAAGGCUUCUUGAAUGAACUGAUAAGACGAAGCUUGAUACAAGUGGUACGAACAUUUUGGGAAAAAGUUAGUAAAUGUAGGAUUCAUGAUCUACUUCGCGAUCUUGCUGUACAAAAGCAUUGGAGGUAAACUCUUUUGACAUUUAUGAUCCAAGAAAGCACUCCAUAUCCUCCUUGUGUCUCAGACAUGCCAUUCAUAGUCAAGGAAAAAGGUAUCUCACACUUGAUCUUUCCAACUUGAAGUUGAGGUCACUUAUGUUCCUUGAUCCGGAUUGUUUAAAUAUGGGUCCUAUAAAGUUCCGUAAUGUGUUCCAACAUCUAUAUGUGUUGUACUUGGAGAUGCGUGUUGACAAUAUGUCUAUAGUACCUGAUGCCAUAGGAAGCUUGUACCACCUCAAAUUCUUAAGAUUGAGAGGUAUCCGUGAUCUUCCCUCUUCUAUUGGCAACCUCAAGAAUUUACAGACACUCUUGUCAAUGACUAUGGAUACUUUUGCCAACUACCCCGUGAAACAGCUGACCUAAUAAAUCUAAGGCAUUUAGUUGUUUCGUAUUCAAAACCUCUGAAACUUAUUAGCAAACUCACUAGUCUUCAAGUUCUUAAAGCCAUCCAUUGUGAUCAGUGGAAAGAUGUUGACCCUGUUGAUUUAGUCAAUCUUCGAGAAUUAACCAUGCAUGAUAUUACCAAAACUUACUCCCUAAACAACAUUAGUAGCUUGAAAAACCUUAGCUCUCUCAAAUUGUUGUGUAAAGAUUGUGAAUCAUUCCCAGCCCUUGAAUUUCUUUAUUCUUGUCAAAAGCUCCACAAAUUGUGGUUACAAGGGAGAAUAGAGAAGCUGCCUCUGUCGGACCAAUUUCCAAAUUCCAUCAUAAUGAUGAUCCUUUCUAGCUCAGAACUCACAGAAGAUCCCAUGCCUACUCUAGGGAUGCUGCCAAGUCUAAGGAAUCUCGAUUUGUUUAGAGCUUACGGAGGAAAAGAAAUCACUUGCAGUGACAACAGCUUCAGUCAACUGGAGAUCCUUCGUCUUGAUUGUCUUGAGAACUUAGAAAGAUGGCAUUUAGCCACAAGUGCCAUGCCUCAUAUUAAAGGUUUUGCUAUCCGUCGUUGUCCAAAGCUACAUGAGAUUCCAAAGAGAAUGAAAGACGUGGAGACAUUGAAGAGAGACUGUCUUAGAUAAUCGUAGAGGUAAUAAAUCCCGAUCCCCAUUGAACAUUUCUUUAAUUCCUCCUCCUCACUAGUUUUAUAUAGUUUUGUUGAUUUAUCUUUUUUUUAUAUAUAUAAAUAAUAAAUAAAAACAGUUGAAUAAGAUGCUUUGUUUUAUAUUAGUUUGUAUUAUUGUAUAAGGACUUAAAGAAUCUUUACAUUAUCAACUGCCUGAAAAUCAACUAUAACUAAUUUUCUGUAUAUAAAUAAAUACGAGUGGCAGUGCCCUUUGUAUAACAUAAGUCAUUUCUCAUGGAAUGUUUUUUCUUGCAGAAUGACUGUUAUGGGAAAUAUUUACUUUGAAAAUGUUCUCGGUGUUUAAUUGGUGAGCGAAAAAAUAUGAAAUAGAUAUAUUAAAACCCAAUAAUAAUAUUUGCAAAUCAGAGAGUUUCUUGAUGAAAUUUUUGAUUACUAAUAGAUCAGUAAAAAUGUUUUUGUGUUAGUUUUUUUCUUUUGGUUUCCCACUUGGUGUCUCAGAGCCCACAUUGGAGCUCCGACUAAAUCCAGAUCGCGCACUGCAGGGCCCAUUCAGGGGUGGCGCUCCCAACAGGGUUUUCUCCGUACCCAGGGCUCGAAGCCGAGACCUCUAGUUAAGGGUGAAGCAGUCCAACCACUGCACGUUCACUACAACCCAUGUUGGUGUUUUUGUGGUAGUUGGAGCAACUAAUAUGAAAAUUUUCCCCAUUUUGAUGGUAAAUAUUUUGGUAAGCUAAUACGACAAAUAAUUACCUCGAAAAUGACUUUCUUCGUACCAAAAACACAUUGAGUUUUAUCGGCAAUCUAUUAUUUGGUUGACACAUGAUAAUGCCUUGAACAUUAUAGUUAAUCAUUAUUUUAGAUAAUUGAUAAAAAAAAUUGUUUUUAUUGAAUACUAGUUAUUAUACUGAAUAGUGUCUUACAAUUUGGGUAAAACAGGAGAAGAAGCUGUCUUUUAUUGAUCCAUUUUCGACAAGCACUUGAAGACAUUUGCAUAGAUGAAGUUGGAUUGUAGAAGCAUUAAUCAGGCUUCUGCCACUUUACUGAUUAUUUCAGGGCUACUAAAGAGAGUUAAUCUCAACAUUCAGUUUUUUGUUUGUUUGGUUUCGUUUUUGAGUGUUUAAUUUCUUUUCAUUUUUGGCUUUUUUAGUGUAUGGAUUUGGUUUGAAGAGAAUUGUUUUUGGGAUUCAAUGCAUAAAUGAUGUUGUUAAUGUGUUAAUUAAUUUUUCUGCAGUAUGUUAUCUUGCUUAUCCACAUUUAAGAUAAUGUUUUAUGUAAUAUGUUACUGUUGAAUCUGAUUAUCUCCCCAGACAACUAACUUGAUGAACUUAAAGACUAUUAAUAGCUCGAUAUGGAGAAACUCUACAAGUUGGAAAACAUGGUGAAUAACUCCCACUUCCGAUGAACACCCUAAAGAGCAUAACUGUCUAAAUGAUUUCGAUAUAGGGACUUCUUUAAGCUAACCAGAUGGAUCCCUCUUUGAUCCCUCUUCUGUUUACUUAAAUGCUGCAUCACAUUCAUUUCACGCUAGUAACUAAUAUCAAGAUUGCAUAAUGGCAGAACUGACACUAAAUUCCACUACAGAAUAAAAAAACAGAAAGACGAUGACACACAUCAAUUUUUCACAAGAGGCAGUUGACAAAGUACAUAUAUCUUAGAUCCUGAAUAGCAAAAAAAGUUUUGAAGCUGCGUUAAAGUGUUUUCUAUUGUCUUGCUCUCUUUUUCUUAUAUCUUGUUUUGGUUUCUUUGAGAUGAGAAAAGAAAUUAAAAUCCAUAAAAUGUAGAUGCUCAUGGUUAACAAUAAAACUUCUAAAUCAUAUUUUUUAUGAAGGAAAAAAAUGUCACAGUUCACUUCCAGUAAUUUCCAGCAAAUUACUCAAUUCGUCAAACGAAUCCAUAAAGCAACACAUAGUUUAGACAUCAAAACCCAACUUCAUAAUAUACCUUUUCUGCACAAAGUGCCAAUUUGCUGUGUCAUGUCAUGUUUCACUUUCUGUUCCUGUUGCUUUUCUCAACCUAUGAAUACUUGUCUAUCUAAUAAUGUGGGUGAUACUUGUAAGACAACUCCCAAGUGUGAUAUCAAUGUUACACAUAGUUAGAGACUUAUACCCCAUCCUAUUUUCCCUCAUCUAUAAAUGCUUCUCAUUCAGAUAAUAAAAGGAGUCUGUUCUCACUCUAAUUCUCAGUCUGUUAAUUGUUCUUCUCAUGGAGAUUGUGUAGACUCUUUGUGGCAUAACAGAUUGGGACAUGAUCCUUUUGUGAAAACGAGGAGAUGUCUUCCAUACCAGCCCAUUUUGCACCUAAGCAACCAUUUUUGUGCCAAAUCUGUCCCAUGGCAAGGCAAACCAAAUCACCAUUUCGACAAAAGUCCACAUCCUCUACCAACUGUUUGACCUACUGCACAUAGACAUUUGGGGACCAUACCACUUACCCACACAUGAAAACCACAAAUAUUUUGUGACUCUUAAGUUAAUUCAUGCAAGAUUCCAGAGAACCUCACCUCAAAGUUGCAAUGCAUGUUCUCGAUGUUUGAAGACUGAUACUACCCUGGAAAUUUUCAUGUCAAAAACUCCUGAUUUUAGUCUAAGAGCUUACUGUACCUCAGAUUGGGCCUCCUGCCCAGAUUCCAGAUUCUAGAAGGUCAGUUAGUGGUUAUAUUGUGAUGCUUGGCAACAACCCUAUCAGUUGGAAAUCCAAGAAACAAGCUACAAUCUCCCUUUCUUCUGCUGAGGCAGAGUAGAGGUCUAUCAGAAUAGAGGUUCGAGAGUUAAUUUAGCUCAGAAGAGUAUUCACAAAACUCAAUGUUCCUUGCAUUACUCCUACUCCUGUAUAUUGUGAUAGCCAAGCAGCAAUUCAUAUAGCCAGAAAUCAUGUUUUUUCAUAAGCGUGCAAAACACAUAGAGGUAGAUUGUCACUUUGUUAGAAAUAAUCUGCAGGAUGGGAUCAUUACUCUUCACGAUAUCUCCACUACUGAACAGUUAGUUGAUGUAUUAACCAAAUCGUUAAAAGGGAUCAAGCACAUUGCCAUUCUAGGCAAGUUGGCAGUGAAUUCUUCCCCUCCAACUUGAAGGGGAUGUUGAGAUUGAUUAGUUAGUUAGUUGGUGGUAGUGGUAGUCCUUGUAUUAGCUAUCAACAGUAGUAUUUAAUUAGUUAGAAGGGUCAAGUCAGUUAGUUAGGAAGGGUAUAUUUGUCAUUUCCAUAACUAAUUAGCUACACAGUGUUGUGUGUGUGUGUAUAUAUAUAUAUAUCUUAGAGCCUGUUUGGAUUGACUUUUGGCUUUUGAUUAUUUUUUUAUCAUUUGAGCUUAAAAUCAAAUGCUUAUAAGUGGUAUUUUAAUUUACCCAAACACUAGAAAAAGUGCUUAAAGCUCUAAGCCUCGUUAUGAGAACUGACGCUUUCUAACUCUCUACGAGAAGUGAAAGCCACUUAACUAUAAGGAGAGGAGCUCCACCAGUACAACAAUUAAAGCCCCUCACUCCACUCAUUUUUGAACUUCUAAUCAGACGCGAAAGAUAUUUCUUUCAAUUCUCUCUUCAAGCUUCAAUGGAAGCUCAAUUCAGCUCACAAAUGGAGCUUUCACUUGAUUUCUGACAAUAAUUUUUACACCAAGAUUGGGCAUAUAAAUUAGACAACAAAACCCAAUUAAAUAUGCUUGAAAUGAAAACCCACAAUUACUUAAGUUAUCAUAUCACAAUUUCAUCCCUAACUCAAUUGUACUUCAUUCAUAAGAAGAUUAUAAGCUAAAUUCACAGUUGGGGGUUCAAUUCUUACCUCAUAUAGGUGAAAAUCCACGAAUUAUGGUUCUUUCGAGAAAUAUGAAUUUCAGUGUACUCACUGGUCCUCGAUCCUGGAAGAAGCC